UGAGAAUCUAGCUUCGCUAACAUUUGGCUAAGUUUUGAACCUUCGUGCUGACCGUUCGCUUUCUCAGUAGCAAGAGCGAUUCUCGUUGCCCCUUAAGUAGAAGGACAAGAAACAUAUUCUUGGUUUUCUUGCCCCCGCUUCCUCAUUUGCGCUCAUCAAGCCAACUUUGCUCUUUGGGAAGUGAAAGAUCGGUUGAAGCGGACAGACCCCAUCGAAGAUAUAUUUAGAUAUAUACACGGUUACGGUUAUCUCGGACUGCAUUCCGUAAAAAGUAGCCUACUUGAGAGAGAAGGGGCGGGCACUCUUGUCUUUCAACCCCACUAUACUAUUCAUAGUUGUGGGGCACUGUGUACUUACAGCCUCUACGAUAAGCAAGUGAAUGGGGCCGGUGCGUGGCGAACGGAACGGUUCAUAAAGCCAUUUUUAGCCUUCACUCCCUAAAUAGGAAUAGAGCUACUUUACAAAUAGGGCUAAUUACUUCGCACCUGACUGUGAUAGCCCUCUCGAUACCUUAUUGGAGCUUUGUAACUAGUGGCCGGUUUCCCGUCGCUAGAGCCUUUUCCCAGUGCACGGAGCCCCAACGAGGAAGGCGUUAGUGGUUUAUGGUCCAUAAUGCUAAUCCCUCUUUUUGUGCUACUCCUACUCCUAGGGCGGGAAGAAGAUAAGAAAAGGCCAAGCGUUCUCUUGGUUUCCCAACCUGUUGCUUCUAAAGACUGCCCUCUCUCGGUUGGAUGUUGGUCCAGCCUACUACGAUGAUCCCAUAUCCAGCAACCCAACCUAUACAAAGGGCAUCCAUCAAAGCCCCUUUACUAGAUUGGAGCUAUGAAGCUUACCUUCUUUUUAUUAAAAAGGGAAAGGGCUUUUUCAGCUGGUGCGCAGUAGCGCACUUCCGUUUUCCCUUGACUAGUAGGGAUCCCGUGGUUCCUAUGCCGCCGCCUUUCCCGGUCCUUUUCUUUUAGUGCAUCGACCCGAAGCGAUAGCUUCUAGCUAGUUCAGUGGAUAAGAUGGUUGCGCUCCAGCUCACUCAAGAAUGGGACGGCAGUGGUCCACCGGCAAGCUCUUUCUGAUCUUGGACGCAGUACAUUGGAAUCCUGAAGCACCACCACGAACGCUAUCGUGCGUCCGCCUGCGGUGCGGUAAGGCACCACCCUGUUGUGCCAGCAGCCAACUCCGGUGUGUCAGCUUAGUUAUCCUCAUCAAGCCACUUACUUGGUGUCUAGUUUCCCAACUGGUAGACGGUUCCUUUUCCCCCCAGAUCAAUGAAGAAGGGAGAAGUCACUUGAUUCUUCCGAAGAACCGGAAGCGAAGCGCUAUGCCGGGGCGGGGGGACGGGAAAAGAAACGGCUCCGAAGAAAGAAAUUUGGGUUCCCAAUGCUUCUCCACGCUCAACGAGAUGCGCCAACCUCGGGAUGCUUUACUCCUAACCCCACAAGGUUCCGAGACAGAGCUUAACCUGAGUCUCGGAUAAGAACAGCGAUAACCUAUGUUUCACACGGCGCACGAUUCCAUGGAUAGUUUCAUUCGAGAUCGUGAUGGAGGACAUAGCUUACGAUCAUCGGCUUUGAUCAUUCCACUAGGCAUUUGAUUAGGACAUUGCACAAUGAUCCGAACACUUUGUCGCAUCUCUUCGAUACGAAUACAGUAACGAUCAUAGCGAUCUCCUCUGGUACCUACUGGUACGUCAGGAUCCGAUUGGUCAUGAACAUCGUAAGGUGCUGCUCUUCGCGAAUCCCAGCAUACCCCUGGUUGGGAUGGGUAGGCCCACCACUUCACUUUCACUUAGGCCCGGGCCAAGUCAGUGGGGGGACCCUGUCGGGCUCCUUCCCCCCCAAAAAAAGAAACUGUACGUGAGAGUUUCCCUUCAUACGGCUCGAAUCAUUCUCAGAUGCCCCGAGAGGCAUCCUUUCCUUGUUUGUUGGGUUGGUUCACGCGCGCGCAAACGAGCACCGGCCGCAACAGCAGGAAACUAUGACCAAUAGAGUCAGACACUUAGCUACAUCCGCACGCAAAAGGAAUGUGGUUCUGGUUGAGGCUUUCUUUUCCUUAUUAGUAAAGGGGGCUAGGGACGUUCGCGGAGUCCGUGCCUUCCGUACCACCGAAAGGUCGUUCUUGGGCGAAUCCCGCUCCUAAACAUAAGGGAUAGGGGUCCUAGGGCCAGGCCUACCAUAUAAAAAGGGUCGUAGAAAACGAACCCGACCACCUAUUUCAUUCGGCGUUACGGGGCAGGGGCCCGACCAAUUCGACCUACUUUUGCUUUUGGAUAACAAGAAGGCGAGCUUCUCUGCUUUGAUCAAAUCAAAAGCCCAGUCAGCCACCAACUCGGUGCAGGUCACGUGACCUACAGCUCGGCCUUCGCUUUUUGAGGCUUCCUCUACCCACAUCUCUAUGUGCCCGCAGCACUUCCAUAUGGAGAAAGAUAGGCUUACCAUGUUCCAUCAAUAGCACCUAACCUAUGCCGAUUUUGGCGGACCGUGCUCCACCCCGAUGAACUCAUGCGGUUCCGACAUGCCUAGAGGCCAGAGGCGAAUCCGUUCACAGUCCGUAGGACCAACACCAUUCGAAGGUGGGCGGCCCACCCCGCCUAGAACAGUUAUGUUUGACUGGGCUUACACACAUUCGCUCACUUACGCUGUCCCCCCUCAGCUCACCCUAGCCCCCGGCGUUUUGCUCUUCUAAUGUAAGCUCCAAGGCUUCACACCAAGUCUUCACUGACAUAAUAUGCAUGCUUAAGUAGGGUCAGGCAGAACCAUUGUUGCCUGAUGGGAACUUCCCCCAUAGUGCUAUCAAUGUCUUCAUGUCGCACGACCUCUUAACAUUACACCACUGAAUCCCCAAUCCUUUGCUUGUUGUACAGUGACAGUACCAAUAUCCACUAAUCGUUGUUUCCAGAUUCGGUUGUCGGUUGACAUCUCUUCUAAUUCGUCGAUACGAGAAGCAAAUUGUUGUGUGGAGGAAUCAAUAUCUCGACAUAAGCCAAGAGGCAGAUCUUGUGCCACUCCACCUGGUCGUAUGAAACUGGCAUGCAUCCUCGCUCCCGAGACUCUUUCGUAGAAUUCCAACAAUUUUUCCCGCUCCUCAAAUUGGUGUGUGGAGGAAUCAAUAUCUCGACAUAAGCCAAGAGGCAGAUCUUGUGCCACUCCAUCUGGUCGUAUGAAACCGGCAUGCAUCCUGGCUCCCGAGACUCUUUCAUAGAAUUCCAACAAUUUUUCCCGCUCCUCAAAAGCCCAGCAGUGGUGGGAGAUGAAUCAUGUGAAUUUGUAUUCAAUUGCAAACCUUGGGUUUCAUCUAACAAUUCUCUUUCAUCUCUCACCUUUCCCUCUGCAGGUCACCCUUUUGCUGCUCAGCAAGCUCAGUCUCAAUCAUUUUCCACUCCAUCAACUACUUCACUUCCUGCUACAUCAUCCAUGCCUCUUUCUCACAACCAGCCAUUUGUAGCUUCUCAAGUUGCUUCUUCCUCUAAUGUGGCUUCUUCUUCAAAUGCUAAGGAGUGUGAUGAAAAUCUAGCUUUCGCCACAAGACUUUUCAACUGCUAUCAUGCUCUUGUAGCUGGAGAUCUUCCACCACAACUAUCAUUUGCUGAUCUAGAUCAGAUCCAUCUAGAAGACAUGGAAGAAAUGGAUAUUACAUGGCAAAUUGCCAUGCUAGUGUUCAGGGAAAAGCAGUUCGCGAAGAAGAAUGGAAAGAACAAUUGGGGAAUGAGCACUGAUAAGAAGGUGGGGUUCAGCAAAGGGAACUUGAGGUGCUUUAACUGUCACGAGCCGGGUCAUUUUGCUCGUGAGUGCCCGAAGCCGGAUAGAAGAUCAAACAAUAACCGGACAAUGGUUGCAGUGGGAAACAAUUGGGGAGGUGCUCAGGUCAAUAGUGAGAAGGCUAUGGUUGCUCAGUCAUUCGACUGGGAGGACCAGAUUUAGGCCCUGAACAUUUCAAAGCCUGAAAAUGCUCACCUAGCCCAAGUUAGUGAUGAAGCUUCUGCAGAGAGUGUUGCAGCUGAAGAUAAGAUGAUGGAGUUUCAGUUUGGGCUGAUGGUCUCUUCUACUUUUGAACCGAAGAAAAAUGAGGUAAGUCUACCUUCUUGUUCUUAGGCUUGUGUUGAUUAUGUUAAGAUUCUUCGUGAUGAAAUAGAUUCUUUACGUAGAGAAGUAGAGGACCUUAGAUAUGAGGGUUAUCAACUUAGAAAAGGAUAAAAACCCUUAAAAUCCCAAUUAGAGACAAAAAUAAAGGAUUUUAGGAAACUUCAGGAGGACUACAGUAACAAAUGUGAAAACCAUGACUAUAUUAAGAGACAGAAUGUUGAGUUACUUAUUGAGCUCGAUACAUUAAAAGCCAAAUUUGAAACUGCUAAUUUUGAUUUUAAGAAAUUUGAUGUGUCUAGCGAAGUAGUUGUAAAUAUGAUAGAUCAUUGUUUACAAUUCAAAAAUAACCAGCAGAAAGGUCUAGGAAAUGAUAAAGUGCCACCUCCCUUUAAUCAUACAUAUCAGUAUCAACCUUUGUCCAAGGAGGAAAUUGCUAAUGAACCAUUCAUGGUUUAUGGAAAGCCCUCUGGUUUUGUUUCGGGAGGAUUUAUUAAUGUUGAAAGUACUAACAUUUCUACUUCCCCUGCAAAUCAAUCCUUAGAUCAAUCAAAGCAUGAAGUUGAAGGAUUUGUUUCUGAUAACAAACCUGAGUCUGAACCUGAAACUUUAGUUUCUAAUAAAGAUUUUUUUUGUUUCUAAUGUUCAAAAAGACAAUGUUUUUCAUGAUACUUCUGCAUCUGUUUCUUUUUAUUUAAAUACUUUUAAAGUUUUUGAUGAGAUGUAUGAUAAUUCUGAUGCUUGUAAUGAUGCAAAUAAAACCCACCACCUCCACAAGUCAGUCCAUCACCUACGCCCUCACUUAUCUUACAACCUGUUUCUUGUUCAUGUGACAAAAGUAAGGGUGUCGAUGUGGAAAAUAAAUCUGAAAAAGGCAAUACAGGUUCUAAUAAUAACAAACAUAUUUGUUUUAAUUGUGGUACUAGUGGUUAUAUAGCUAGGAAUUGUUUAAAUAGAAUGUUUGUACAUUAUGCGUCACAAAGAGGAGAGAACGAAUCUAGAGGAAGGUCUUUAAAUAGAAAGUCCUCUAGAACUCGUUCUCAGAAUGAUGAUUGGAAACAUGAUUGUAGUAGAAAAGGGCGGUCCCUCAAAAUAAUAAAAAGGUUUUUCGUAACAAAGUCCCAAACAGUUUGCUAAAAUCGAACACGGCUCUGUUAAGAUCGGUUUUGUCAAGGAGCAGCUCUGGGUCUUCAACCUCUUCUGGUAGAAAACCCAAGUGCUCCAUGCAAACUAAUAAGAAAUAUGUUUCAAAACCAUUGGUGAUUGUUAGAAAACCUAAUUAUCAAGAGAUGCCUAAAAUAAAUUCCAAUCCAUCAUUUGCAUCCUCUGAAAAGUUAGAAAGUAAAGAUAAAUUUGAAAAAGUAAAGGAUCAACCCGGGAAAGUGAUAACCUGGGUUCCCAAAUCUAAAUGAUCCCACACAUUUUUCAGGGACAGUUGCGAGGGAAUGUCAUCAGACCUUGGUUCGUCGACAGCAGCUGCUCCCUGCAUAUGACAGGAGAUAUAUCUCAAGUGAACAACAUUCAAUCUUUUAAUGGGGGAUAUGUUUCCUUUGCGGGUGGAGAAGGUGGCAAGAUCAUGCAGAGAGGAACUGUUACUAAUGGAGUGUUAAGUUUCGAGAAUGUCAAUUUUGCUCCCGAGUUAAAGCAUAGUUUGUUGAGUGUGUCUCAGAUAUGCGACAAAGGCUAUUCUACACAUUUCACUGACAAGGAAUGUAUGAUUCUCAAGCCAGGCAUUGUCAUCUUGGAAGAAUGGAUUCUUGUCAAAUCUAAAAGGGAUGGAAAUGCUUACAUUAUUGAUAUGAAUAGCAACCUUCCCGAACAAGUUACUUGCCUCUUUUCAAAGGUCUCAGAACAAAAUGCAAUGAUGUGGCACCGAAGACUCGGUCAUGCUAACGCCAAAAACCUAAAUUGUCUUGCAAAGAAUGAGAUGGUUCGUAGUCUACCUGUCAGAGAUUUUAUAACGUUUGAGAAGUGUGUGUCAUGUGCCCAGGGUAAACAUCAUAGAAAAUCACACCUACAAAAAAAGGUUAACUCAAUCAGUUAGGUGCUCCAAUUAUUACAUAUGGACUUGUUCAGCCCAGUCAACGUCUUAAGCAUCAACAGAAGUUCAUAAUGUCUGGUUGUGAUUGAUGAUUUCUCUCGUUCUACGUGAGUUUUCUUCUUAUCCAACAAAGCGGGGGUUGCUGAACUGAUAAAUGUAACAUCCCAAAAUCCAGGUAAAGCUAUUAAGUCCUUCCAUUUUGUCAAGUUGUCAAAAGUGGCCCUUGAAAGAGUUUUUUGUAGCAAAUGAGUACGCGGGGCGUACUAGGGUGUAUGUUGCGCGUACUCAUGCGCUUAAUUUGGAUGCGGACUCACCUGGGUACGCUGCGCGUAAUGUGUCCAGAUGCAAACCCUAAUAUUUGACUUGUGCACUAUAUAAUGGAUGCUAAGGCUCAUUUCUCAGCCUCCAUAUCAGUGAGUGAAACCCUAAGAGAGAGUCUUCCAUCAUCCUUAGUGAGUGUGUGUGAUUUUGGAGCUAAAAGUGCCUUGGUGUGUUAGUGAAGAAGGAGGAAAGGAGCUUGUGGAGGCUAGGGCUUGAAGUGCAAGUUUGGAUUUGAGAUCUACAGAGGAAGGAGCUGCAUUUAGAGGUAUAAAGUUCAAAACUUUCCUCUUCAUUUUGGUUUGUUGUUGCAUGGGCCAUUUCUAGGGCUAAACGUCCCAAAGGUGGAAACUUUAUGAGUGUAAGGUGCUCCAUAGUCCGAGAUCUGUUCCAUUUCAGCAGUACUUGUGUUUUAGAUCCAUAAAGUUUCCAUCUUGGACGUUGCAAUGAAGGCAUGCUUGAGUUUUGAGAUUUCUAGGGUUAGAAAUGGGAUAUUAUGGGUGAUAGUCACUUGUUCGGCCAUGCAAAGGCUUAAAGUCAUCGACUUUAUGGAUUAAGAGGCUUAGAAAUGGUUAGAUCUAGAAGUUGGACGUGGGUCUUAAAUGUUUAAGACCUCAGGAGCUGAAAGACUAAAACUGGGAGUUACGCUGGGCGUAAUCCCAGUGCGCGGGCCGUAAGGGGGAACGCACCCCGUUUCUGUGAGGACACCGGGUACGCCCGGCGUACAUGUUUGGUAGGCGUAUCGUCACCCAGAGAGUUAACUUUUGUUGACUUUUAGGGUUUGGUCAACUUUAGGGUCUUUGGGCCAUGAGGUCUUUUACCCUUCUGAGAGUACUGAGAAAGGGAAUAGUCUAGCCUUGAGACAUGUAAUGAUUUAGAGUGUUUAUCUCAUAUGAUUAGGCGGAGGCUAGACCUGAUUAUACAGAGUUCGAGAUUACCAAGUUACCCGAGGUGAGUCUUCUUACUAUACUGUACCUGGAAGGGUACUUAUGUUGGGUUUUGAGCAUUCUAACACUUCCUAAGUGUACAUGCAACCCUAAUAAACCUUGGAUCUAUGUUUGUCUAAUACAUGCAAAAUUUUAUUUUCCAAGGUUUAUAACCUAUCUAGCAUGGCAUGGGGAAGUUUUAAACAUAAAAGAACUAGAUGAAAUUACAUACCUUUUGAUGAGUGUUGAUUCCUUGGAGUUUGAGAGCCAAGCAUCAAUAAUGUGAAUGCCUCAAAUGGAAAUCACAAAUCACCACAAACUUGGAAAAUGUAUAAGAGAGUAUACUAACACUUAGAAAUCGUCCACCACUAUUACACACACACUAGGGGUGUCAUUUCAUGCAACAUAAGCUUGUUCAUAUAGUGUGCAUGGUUAGGGGAAACCCUAAUAACCCAUGUCUUUUCCUCUUCUAAGGAUCCAUGGGUUAAAAGCUCCAUGGAUCAUCCAUGGACUUCCAUAUUAGCUUAGCCCAUUAACAAAUGAGUAUUAGCCCACACUAUAUAAAAUACAAUAGCCCAUGAUUUAAUUAGUCUUCCUUUUAAUCACUAAAUUAAUUCAUAAUUAAUUUAAGACUAAAACUAAUUAAAUAACAUGACUUAACAUUAAUAUAUUAUAACUUAUAAUAUAUUAAUAAAUUGUAAGUAUACAAUUCUCAUAAAAUUAUCCAUAAAUAGUUCGGAUGAAGUGCCACCCAAAUAGACCAUGUCGGGUCGGGUCAAGUAUAUACUAAACAACUUAUGGACUUAGACACCUUAUCCAACAGACUCCCACUUGGAUAAGUCUAAUAACUGUAUUUGCAUAUAUUACUUUAGGAACCAACUGGCAAUCGUAGCUCUCGAAAACUCUGUUGAACUAUGAAGCGCCAUUUUAGAUAAGUGAUCAUAUAAUCCUAUGUUCUCAUGAUACCAGCCAAACAAACACAUGGAACUAUGUCUUGCUUAUUGUCUGGCAGUUGUUUCCCGAUUUCUGAUUUGUUUGACAAAGAACUCAAUCGAACACAUCAACUUAGUUCUGACCGAGCCUGGUACAUAGGUCAACACAAAAUCAUCGAGGGGCCCAGAUAUUGCUUCUAUUUCUAGAAGGAACAGAUAAACUUUGACUCAUAUGCUUGUUCCACUACUUGUUGAAUUGUACACAAAGGCACAUUUUAUAACAUCAAGUUACUGAUGCGUUUACGUGCAAUCAAUGCACAACCAACUCAUAGGAAACAACCCAUAUCUCUAGGUUUGAAGACUUAUAUGAUAUUAUCGUCUCACGAUCACUCGAGAUAAAUUCCAUGAAGUGAUACAAGUGAGCGUGGGUUUAUUCCAAUACUCAUAACUUAUGAGCACUCAUGAACGUUGUAGCAACCAUUGCUAUGUCUAAACACUUUUAGCCAUCUACAAACCCAAUUCAUGACAAUCUUGAUUCAUACCUACUUCCGAUGUAUGACCGAUUAUGGAGGUUCGAGUAAUUUAAUUAUUCUGGAAGUCAAAACAUGCAAAAGCAAUAUAGUAAACGAUCGACAAGAGACAACAACACUUUACUCAUAAUAAAACACAUUUUAUUCAUCAUCUAAUGUCAAUUACACUUUACAAAUUUCAAGGUUAUCUAACUACUAAAACUAAUAUCAUCCUUCAGCCCUAUGCUCCGAGCAUGCUGGAGAUGCUUAACCCGAGUCAGUCCCUUCGUGAGGGGAUCUGUUGGAUUCUCAUCCGAUGAUACCCUCUUUGCCACGAGGAGUCCUUCUUCUAUCUUGUGUCUUAUGAAGUGAUAUUUUAUGUCAAUAUGUCGAGAUCUGCCAGGAUCUCUAGGUUCUUUAGCUAAAGCAACCGCACUAUUGCUGUCACAGAAAAUCUCCAUAGGCUCCUUAAUAGCUGGUACAACUCCAAGGUCUCCGAUGAAGUUCAUCAGCCAUAUCGCCUCCUUCGCUGCUACACUCGUUGCUAUGUACUCUGAUUCACAAGUCGAAUCAGCCACCGUCUCCUGCUUGGAACUCUUCCAAGAGAUUGCCCCUCCAUUUAGGGUAAAGAUCCAGCCCGACUGAGAGCGGAAGUUUUCCCUAUCAGUCUGAAAACUAGCAUCAUUGUACCCUAAUACUUUCAAAUCAUCACUCCCACCAAGGGUAAGGAUCCAAUCCUUAGUCCUCCGUAGGUACUUGAGAAUGCUCUUUACGGCGGUCCAAUGAGCCUUGCCAGGGUUCCCCUGAUAUCUACUGACCAUGCUCAAGGCGAAGGCCACAUCAGGGCGAGUACAACUCAAAGCAUACAUGAUUGAUCCAAUAGCAGAAGCCUACGGUAAUUGACUCAUCUCAGCUAUUUCAGCCUCUGUACUUGGACUCUGAGUCUUACUCAGCUUGGCAUUGCUUUGGAUCGGUAAAUCUCCUUUCUUGGAAUUCUGCAUGUUGAACCUUUUCAACACCUUAUCCAAGUAGGUACUCUGACUAAGUCCAAUUAGUCUUUUACUCCUUUCUCUUAAUAUCCUUAUCCCUAGGAUAUAGGCAGCCUCCCCUAGGUCCUUCAUAGAAAAGCACUUCCCAAGCCAGGACUUAACCUCCUGCAAGGUUGGGAUGUCAUUUCCUAUAAGUAGUAUGUCAUCCACAUACAGUACCAAGAAGCUAACUAUACUCCCACUAGCUCUGACAUACACGCAAGACUCAUCUUCACUUCUCGAGAAGCCAAACUCUUUGACCUUCUCAUCGAAACAAAGAUUCCAGCUACGAGAUGCUUGUUUCAAUCCAUAAAUGGAUUUCUCAAGCUUGCACACUCUAUUAGGAUAUUCUGCACUGACAAAACCCUCUGGCUGAUUCAUGUACACAUCCUCAGCCAACUUUCCAUUAAGAAAAGUAGUUUUGACAUCCAUUUGCCAUAAUUCAUAAUCAUGAAAUGCAGCACUGGCUAGCAUAACCCUGAUAGACUUAAUCUUAGCUACCGGUAAGAAGGUUUCAUCAUAAUCAAUACCCUGAGUCUGAGUAAAGCCCUUCACAACCAGUCGAGCUUUAUAAGUGUGCACUUUACCUUCCAUGUCGGUCUUCUUCUUGAAGAUCCAUUUGCACCCGACUGUUUUACGGCCUGGUACAUUGUCAACCAAGUUCCACACUUGAUUGUCAUACAUGGACUGUAUCUCGCUGUCCAUAGCCUCUUUCCAUUUGGCAGACUCUGGGUCUACCAUGGCUUCCUUAACACUUCUAGGUUCAUCCAAAUUUACCAGUGUACUAUCACUGAUAAACGUAUCACUUUCGUAGUAAUAUGAAAACCAUAAUAAAACUCAGGUGUGCUCCUAACCCAUGUGGAACGCCUCGGAGGUAUAGACUCGUCAACUGUCUCAACAAGAGUUUCCUCCUUAGGUUGAUUGCUAGUGUCUGAGGUUCCUUCACCAAUCGAUUCUUGAAUUUCUUCAAGGUUAAUUUGCCUCCCACUGUCUCCUUGGCUUAUGCAUUCUCUCUCAUGAAAGACCGCUCUUCUUGCUACAAAGACCACAUUCUCACUGGGUCUGUAGAAAAGGUAACCAAAGGAUUUCUGUGGGUAGCCGAUGAAAAUACACCUUUCGCUUCGGGGUUUGAGCUUAUCAUGAGUCUCACACCUCACAAAAGCCUCGCAACCCUAAAUCUUGAUGUGGUCUAGCAUGGGAGCAUUCCCAGUCCACAUCUCAUGAGGUGUUUUGGUAACCUUCUUUGUAGGGACUAGAUUAAGGAUAUGGGCGGCAGUCUCUAAGGCAUACCCCCAAAAAUAGAUUGGUAGCGAAGCUCGACUCAUCAUAGAGCGAACCAUGUCCAACAAGGUUCGAUUACGCCUCUCAGCUACACCAUUCAGCUGUGGUGUCCUGGGAGGUGUCAACUGUGAGACAAUCCCACACUCCUUAAGAUAGUCAAGGAACUCGGUACUAAGAUACUCUCCACCUCGAUCGGAUCGAAGUAUCUUAAUGUUCCUGCCUAAUUGAUUUUCUACUUCCUUCUUAAAUUCCUUAAACCUUUCAAAGGUUUCUGACUUAUGUUUGAUUAAGUAGACAUAACCAUAUCUACUAAAAUCAUCAAUAAAAGUCACAUAAUACCGAUUAGCAUCCCUUGUGGCGGUUUUGAAAGGUCCACAUACAUCAUUAUGUAUUAGGUCCAACAAACCCUCACCCCUUUCACAAGUACCAGUGAAGGGUGAUUUUGUCAUCUUUCUAAGUAGACAAGAUUCACAACUAUCAUCCGAUUUAAGGUCGAAUGACUCCAAGACUCCACUCUUUUGGAGUUGGCCUAUGCGUUUCUUGUUUACAUGUCCAAGACGACAAUGCCACAAUGAUGCUUUAUCUAGGCUAGUAGAAGAAUCAAUAUACAAUACAUUAUUUCCUAAGUUGUCUACAAUCGACACAGUUUCAUACACACCAUCACAAGGUAAUGCUUUAAAAUAAAACACAUUAUUAAAGAAAGCAUUAAUACCACCACAUUCAUUAUCAAACGAAAAGGUAAAACCUUGUUUGUACAAAGCAUGAAAAGAAAUAAUAUUCCUCGCCAUUUCAGACGAGUACACACAUUUAUUCAAAUCUAAUUUUAACCCAUUAUUAAGCAACAAAGUAUAAACUCCAAUCUUGGAAACAGGUGAAGCCUUCCUAUUCCCCAUGAUCAAGUUUAUCUUUCCGUGCUCCACAUCCUCACUUCUUCUUAGGCCCUGCAAAUUUGGACAUAUGUGAAUACCACAUCCUGUAUCAAGCACCCAAGAAUUAGAAUAUGGUAAGUUAUUAGACAAUAUUGUGUAAAUACCUGCAUGGGUGGGUUUCACUUCCCCAUCCUUAAGAUCUUGCUGGUACUUUGGGCAGUUUCUCUUCCAGUGCCCCUUGUCCUGGCAAUAGUAACAAUUAGCAUCCUUAGGAAUAGUAGAAGGAGUGACAGGACCACCCUUGGUCCUUGAUGAGGAGCCUUCAAGAGACUUUCCCUUGGUACCCUUCGAAGGGGACUUCCCCUUUUUCCCUUUGCCUUUCCCGAUAGCCAAAACAGGGGUAGAAGUUGGAGUAGGAGUAGUAGAGGUAACAACCGAUUUGCCCUUAAGACCACUCUCGGCGGUCUUUAAGAGUCCUUGAAGUUUGCUCAGAGUGACUUCCUCCUUGUUCAUAUGAUAUGUCAUACGUAAAUGGUCAUAACAAGAAGGUAAGGAGUGCAAAAUGAUGUCAAUUGCCAACUCCUCAGGAAAGUUCACAUUCAACUUGAGAAAACGGUCCACAUACCUUUGCAUCUUUUGCAUGUGGCCCAUGACAGAUUCACUGUCCUUCAUUUGGGUUGUUAUCAUGGAGGAGAUUAUUUCAUACCGCUCCUGACGAGCACUCUGAUGGUACCUUUCCAUCAGGUCUUGGUGCAUCUCAAAAGGGUAGAAGUCCUCAUAGGACUUUUGGAGCUCGACUGUCAUCGUGGCCAUCAUGAUGCAUGCUACCUUAGUAGCAUCCCUCUCAUGUGUCCUAAAUUCAACGAUCUCCUCAGGAGUAGCAGUGGACUCAUCAAGCUCUUUUAACUCCUUAUCGAGAACAUAUUCCUUGUCCUCAUAACGAGUCACCAUCCUGAUGUUCCUAAUCCAAUCCAUGAAGUUGGAACCAUCAAAGAUGACUCUCCAACAAAGGUUCAUGAGAGAGAAAGAGCCAGAUGGGUUAGAGCCCGAAGCAUUGUUGUUGGAAGACAUCUGAAAAGAAGAAAACAAGUUUAGAUUAGAUAUAGGCUCCUUAAUAAGACACCCAAAUGUAAUAUUAAGGCUAGAACCCAAUCACAAUAUAUUAUACUUAGAAGAGGUAUGUCGUAAUCUAAGUAAUAACAUAUUUGAAAGGUAGGUGAAUGAUGAUUCACCAAUUUCCACCAUGAAAAACGAAAUGAAAUAUUAGGUUUUAAUUGGAUUUGAAAUUCCUAGAUUAUUUUGAGAUUCAUUGAACUUUUCAAUGGCAUGUUUCAAUCUCGAUUGUGCCCUUCAUGUUUUGCGACUGGGAUGCCGAGGAUCACAAAACAAGGUGUGAAUAACCAUACCAAUUCACAUGGUACCCUUAAUAUUAUCACCUAAUCAAUGUGCUGGUAAACUACACGCGCUCCACCGAUCUAUGAUAAACAUUAAGUCACCCUUUGUGGUCCUUACUAGUCCAAGUUAGAGUGCCGGUAAACCACAUACGCUCCACCGCGACUUGGUAAGGUACAAAGUGUGAAUUCCAUGGGCUAGCACCAAUUUCACAUUUUUCCUAAAGUAACUAAGAUUGGGAAUUAAAAGGUUUAGUUACUUUAUAAUAAUCAUUAUACUUUAUUGAGAAUUUAAAGUCAUUGUCCUACCCAUUCGGCUAACGACCCUCCACCGAUCAAGGAAGCGGUGGGUGAGAGUGGACACCCAUUAAGUCACCAUUUUAUAGGCAACAACCUUAUACCCCCCUUAUAGACUGGCUUCGUGAAUGAGGCCUAAUAACGGUAAAGCGACUUAUUCUUAUACAUAUAUAAUAUUAACCAUUAAUGUUAUAAAUAGUAUAAGUGUUGAAUUUUAACUAUUGAAACUCUAAGGGUUGGAAUUUAAAGUUUAUUAAAGUGUGUGAAAAUUUUCAAAUUCCAAAACUUGAGGGCAAGUUUUGAAACUCUUCAAAACUUUUCAUUUCAUAACUUAUGAAUUAAAGGUUCAUAAAAAUGAAGACUCUUCAUUUUUAUGUAACUUAUGUGUUUUUAAUGUGUGUUUAAAAGAAGUGACCUUUGGAUUUCCAUAACUGGAGGAAAAAUUAUGGAUUCCAUCAAAACACAUAAAUGAUCAAGAAUUAAUCCUAAACAAUUCAGCAAAUAAUUCCUAUGAUCUUCUAAAUUCAUAAGAACAUGAACAUGAUCAUCAAAGUUUCAAGAAAUAUAUGAACACAUAUAAAUCAUGAAAUUUUGAUAUAAGCCAUUGUAAAUGGAUUAGAACUACCAUUACACCAACUAAAAUAAGUUUUAAAGCAUCAAAACAGUUUAGGAUAAUGUUUCUAGUCCAUUUCUAGCAGCAAAAGUCGAAAAUCUGCAUUCUGAACCUUCUACUCGCCGAGUGCACGAACCUACUCGGCAAGUAGGAUGAAUUUACUCAUGAACUCGGCAAGUCCCCCCAUAGACUCGGCGAUUCCAUCCUACAGACAACAAAAAUUUUGACUUUCUUCACUAUUUUGCAUCAAGUAUCAAACAAACAAGCCUAGGCUCUGAUACCACUGUUGGGUUUUGAGCAUUCUAACACUUCCUAAGUGUACAUGCAACCCUAAUAAACCUUGGAUCUAUGUUUGUCUAAUACAUGCAAAAUUUUAUUUUCCAAGGUUUAUAAACUAUCUAGCAUGGCAUGGGGAACUUUUAAACAUAAAAGAACUAGAUGAAAUUACAUACCUUUUGAUGAGUGUUGAUUCCUUGGAGUUUGAGAGCCAAACACCAAUAAUGUGAAUGCCUCAAAUGGAAAUCACAAAUCACCACAAACUUGGAAAAUGUAUGAGAGAGUAUACUAACACUUAGAAAUCGGCCACCACUAUUACACACACUAGGGGUCAUUUCAUGCAACAUAAGCUUGUUUAUAUAGUGUGCAUGGUUAGGGUGAAACCCUAAUAACCCAUGUCUUUUCCUCUUCCAAGGAUCCAUGGGUUAAAAGCUCCAUGGAUCAUCCAUGGACUUCCAUACAAGCUUAUCCCAUUAACAAAUGAGUGUUAGCCCACACUAUAUAAAUACAAUAGCCCAUGAUUUAGUUAGUCUUCCUUUUAAUCACUAAAUUAAUUCAUAAUUAAUUUAUGAUUAAAACUAAUAAAUAACAUGACUUAACAUUAAUAUAUUAUAACUUAUAAUAUAUUAAUAAAUCGUAAGUAUACAAUUCUCAUAAGAUUAUCCAUAAAUAGUUCGAAUGAAGUGCAACCCAAAUGGUCCAUGCCGGGUCGGGUCAAUUAUAUACCAAAUAAGUUAUGGACUUAGACACCUUAUCCAACAAGUUGGGCCUUUGUUGAUUAUCUGACUUUUGGGCCUUCAGAGUAUAAGUUUGGGCCUUAAUCUUGGACCAAGCUUGGUUAGGGGUAAAACGGUCCUUUUACCCCAAGUGGGGAUUUUAGGAUUACACAUUGAAAACCCAAAUGGUUAAUUGGGUAUUGUUUUGAUGUUGAUAGCUUGGGGAUUUGUCAGCCAGCAGCCCGAGAUUUAUUCGCGGGACUUCAGUAGUGCGAGGUGAGUCUUCUCCUAUAGGAACAGGUCUAAGGCACCAAUGUCGGCCCGUUUAUGUAUGUUAGCAUAUGUCGGACUUAGGUCCGAUGCCAAGGUUAGCCCGAUGUAGAUUAUAUGUUUCCGGACUCCGGUCCAAUGUCGGGGCAAGCUUGAGGAAUGUUUGUAUGCUUGAUGUCUUCGUGAUUCUUGCAUGUGUGUGUUUAUAUGUUCUGGGCUUCGGUCCGAUACCAGGGCAAGCCCGAGGAAAUUUUAGCUUAUAUGUUAUCUGUUAUAUGUUUCGGGCUUCGGUCUGAUGUCGGGGCAAGCCCGAGGAAUGUUUAGCUUAUAUGUUAUGUGUUAUAUGUAUUGUUCUUAGGUCCGAUGACGGGGCAAGCCCGAGGAAUAUUUAUAUGUUUAUGUUAUGUGCUUAUGUUCAUAUGUAUUUUUGAUAUGCUUAUAUAUACUGAGCUUUGCUUGAUGCCUGGCGGGGCCCGAUGCCGGAUUUUGGUCCGAUGCCGGGCGGGGCCCAAUGUCGGACUUCGGUUUGAUGUCAAGCGGGGCCCGAUAGAGUAGGCUAGGCCCAAGUUAUGUUUAUGUUACGUGUUUAUGUUAUAUGCAUUGUUGAUAUGCUUAUAUGUAUACCGAUUUUCGGUCCGAGGAGGGGCCCGAUGCCGGAUUUGUCCUAUGUCGGGCGAGGCCCGAUGUAGCGAGCAAGGCCUAAUGUAUGUCAUUAUGUGAUUAUGUAUAUGGUAUGUGGUAAUUUGGGGAGAUUCACUAAGCUUCGUUCUUAUAGUUUUCAGUUUUGGUUUCAGGUACUUCUAGUAGCAAGGGGAAGAGCUCGGGAUGAUUGUAGUGCACACACGAUUUGUUUAGCUUGGGAUGUUUAUACUCUGAUAUAUUUUGACAGAUGUUAUGAUAUCUUAAGAUACACUAUUUAUGAUUUUUGUAUGUGUUGGAUAAGGUGUUUAAGUCCAUAACUAUUUCGGGUAUGUACUUGACCCGGUUUGCCAUGGUCCAUUUGAGUUGUAUGGCAUCAUGCAUUUGGAUAGACUAAAAUGAGAGAAAUAACACUUAUGGUAUAUUAAUAUAUUAUAAGUUCUAAUAUAUUAAUAAUACUAUUUAAUUAGUAUUGAUCAAGAAUUUAUAUGGAAUUAAUUAAGUGAUCAAAAGGAUACUAAUUAAAUAUAUGGGUUAAUUGUGUAAAUCAUCCAUACUUGUAUAGUGGGCUAAUGCUCCAUGGAUUAAACAAGUUGGACUAAAACCCAUAGGAUGCUCCAUGGGAGUUAUAAACCCAUGGAUCAUGGAAAUGAAGAGUCAUGUCACAUUAGGGUUUAUAUGGUGUAACCUUAAUUGUAAUACACUAUAUAAGGGCCAUUAUGUUCACCAAAAUCGGCUACACUAAGAAAUAAAGAGGGCAAUCCGAUUUUAGAAGUGUUCUACAUUUCUCUCAAGUCAUUCCAAUAGCAUUUGGUGUUGUGUGAGACAUUUGAGGCAUCACCCUUGGGGGGCUAGGCUCACAAGGGUUUCAAGGAAUCCAAUAACUACAAGGUAUGUAUUUCUAGCUAUGUUUUAUGAUUAAAAGUUCCCCAUGUAUGCUAGAUAGGAUUAAGAACCUUAGAAAUCAAAUUUUUCAUUUAUUAUAUACAAACAUAGAUCCAAGGUUUCUAGGGUUGCAUGUACACCUUAGGAGUGUUAGAAUGUUCAAAAACCCUACAGUGGUGUCAGAGCUUAGGCUUGUUUGUUUGAUACUUGAUGCAAAAUAGCUGAAAAAGUCGAAGUUCUUGUUGUCUGCACAGGGGACUCGCCGAGUCCACGGGGGGGCUCAAAGAGUCCGAUCGAAUCUUCAACCAACUCGGCAAGUCAGUUCAUGCACUCGACGAGUUGGUCAGGCAGAGUGCAGAUUUUCGAUUUUUGCAGCUGGAAAUGGACUAGAAACAUUACCCUAAACUGUUUUGGUGUUUUAAAACUUGUUUUAGAUGGUGUAAUGUUUGUGCUAAUUCAUUUACAAUGGCUAAUAUGAAAAUGGAUUAUAUGUGUUCAUAUGUUCUUGAAAUUUUGAUAUGAAUAUUCAUGUUCUUAUGAGUUCUUGAUAGAUCAAAUGAAUUAUUUUUAAAUUGUUUAAUGCUUAAUUCAUGAUCAUUAUGUGUUUUAAUGGAAUCCAUAGUUUGUCCUCAAGUUAUGGAUUACCAAAAGUUUUUUCUCUUAAAGUCCAUUAUUAAACACAUAGGUUACAUAAAAUGAAGAGUCACUCAUUUUAAUGAACCAUUUAACUCAUAAGUUAUGAAUUGAAAAGUUUUAUAAAGUUACAAAACUCGCCCUCAAGUUUUGGAACAUGUUAAGUCAUCUAGUAAACUUUAGUUCCAACCCCUAGAAUUUUAGAAGUUAAAANGAUCAAGUCGUUUUACAGUUAGUAGGCCUCAUUCACGAAGUCGGUCUAUAAGGAGGGUAUAAGGUUGUUGCCUAUAAAAUGACAGCUUAAUGGGUGUCCACUCUUACCCACCGCUUCCUUGACUGAUGGAGGGUCGUUAGCCGAACGGGUAGGAAAAUGACUUAAAAUUCUCAUUAAAAGUAUAAUGAUUAUUAUAAAGUAACUAAAUGUUUUAUAAAUUCCCAAUCUUAGUUACUUUAGGAAAAUGUGAAUAAGGUGCAAACCCAUGAGAUUACACUUUGCACUUUGUUUAAGUCGUUAGUGGAGUGUGUGUGGUUAACCGACAAACUAACUUGGACUUAACAAGGUAGGCAAAGGGUGACUUAAGGUUUAACAUAGGUCGGUGGAGCGCUUGUGGCUAAUUGGCACAUCGAUUGAGUGAUAAACAUUAAGGGUACCAAGUAAUUUACAUGGUAACUUCACACCUUGUAUUGUGAUCCUUGGCAUCCCAGUCACAUAACCUGAAGGACACACUUGAGAUUGAAACAUGCCAUUGAAAAGUUCAAUGAAUCUCAAAAGAAUCUAGGAGUUUCUAAAACCAAUUAAAGCCUAAUAAUUUUUUUCGUUUUUCAUGGUGGAAAUUGGUGAAUCGUCAUUCACCUACCUUUCAAAUAUGUUAUAGCUUAGAUUACAACAUCCCUCUUCUAAGUUAUAAUAUAUUGUGAUUAGGUCCUAGCCUUAAUAUUACAUUUGGUUGUUUUAUUAAGGACUAUCUUUAUAUCUAAACUAAACUUGUCUUUUCUUCUUUUCAGAUGUCUUCCAACAACGUUGCUUCUGGCUCAAACCUUUUUGGCUCCUUUUCUCUCAUGAACCUUUGUGGGAGAGUCAUCUUUGAUGGUUCCAACUUUAUGGAUUGGAUCUGGAACAUCAGGAUGGUCACUCGCUACGAGGACAAGGAAUAUGUCCUCGAUAAGGAGAUGAAGGAAAUUAAUGAGUCCACUACUACCCCUCAGGAGAUCGCUGACUUCCAGGCUCAUAAAAGAGAUGCUACCAAAGUGGCAUGUAUCAUGAUGGCUACUAUGACAACUGAACUCCAAAAGUCCUAUGAGGACUUUUACCCUUUUGAGAUGCACCAAGAUGUGAUGGAAAGAUAUCAUCAAAGUGCUCGUCAAGAGCGGUAUGAGAUCAUCUCCUCUAUGAUAACAACCAUGAUGAAGGAUGGAGAAUCCAUCACAGGCCACAUGCAGAAAAUGUACAGGUAUGUGGACCGUUUGCUGAAACUUAAUGUGAAAUUCCCCGAGGAGUUGGCAAAAGAUAAUAUUUUGCACUCCUUACCAUCGUGUUAUGAUCAAUUCCGCAUGACAUACCACAUGAACAAGGAGAAAGUUACCCUCAUCAAGCUUCAAGGACUCUUGAAGAAUGCCGAAAUUGGUCUUAAAGGUAAGUUGGUUGUUACCACUCCUACUCCUACUCCAAACUCCCCCUAUCUUGGCAAUAAGGAAAAGUAGAGGGAAAAGAGGAAGAACCCUUCGAAGGGUACCAAGGGUAAGACCCUUUAUGGCUCCUCUUCAAGUGGAACCAAGAAAGGUUUCGUCACUCCUUCUUCUGACCCAAAAUAGGCUGAAUGCUUCUAUUGCCGUGAAAAGUCGCAUUGGAAGCGGAACUGCCCAAAGUACCAGCAAGAUAUUAAGGAUGGGAAAAUGAAACCCACCCAUGCAGGUAUUUACACAAUAUUGUCUAAUAACUCACCAUAUUCUAACUAUUGGGUCCUUGAUACAGGUUGUGGUAAUCACAUAUGUUUUGAUUUGCAGGUACUAAGAAGAAGUGAUAGUGUGCAGCAUAGAAAGAUAAACUUGAUCAUGGGUAAUAGGAAAUCUUCACCUGUCACCAAGAUUGGAGUUUAUUCAUUGUUGCUAAGUAGUGGGUUUAGAUUAGAUUUGAAUAAAUGUAGUUAUUCGCCUGAAAUGGCAAGAAAUAUUAUUUCCUUUCAUGCUUUGUAUAAACAAGGGUUUACCUUUUCUUUUGAUAAUGAAGUUGGUGGAAUGAAUGCUUUCUUUAAUAAUGUUCUUUAUUUUAAAGCAUUACCUUGUGAUGGUGUGUAUGGAGUUGUGUCUGUUGUAGAUAACCUAGGAAAUAAUGUUUUGUGUAUUGAUUCUACUAAGAAUAAUAACUUGGAUAAAGCAUCAUUAUGGCAUUGUCAUCUUGGACAUGUAAGCAAGAAGCACAUAGGCCAACUCCAAAAGGAUGGAGUCUUCGAGUCAUUUGACCUAAAAUCAGAUGAUAGUUAUGAAUCAUGCUUACUUGGAAAAAUGACAAAGUCACCCUUCACUGGUUCUUGUGCUAGGGGUGAAGGUUUGUUGGAUCUAGUGCACAUGGAUGUGUGUGGACCCUUCAAAUCUGCUACAAGGGAUGCUAAUCGUUAUUAUUUGACUUUUACAGAUGAUUAUAGUAUAUAUGGAUAUGUCUACUUAAUCAAGCAUAAGUUAGAGACUUUCUAAAGGUUUAAAGAGUCUAAACAUGAAGUAGAGAAUCAAUUGGACAGGAACAUUAAGAUGCUUCGAUCUGAUCGAGGUGGUGAGUAUCUUAGUAUCGAGUUCCUAGACUAUCUUAAGGAAUGUGGGAUUGUCUCACAAUUGACACCUCCCAGGACACCACAGUUGAAUGGUGUGGCUGAGAGGCAUAAUCGAACCUUGUUGGAUAUGGUUCAUUCCAUGAUGAUUCGAGCUUCGCUACCGAUCUCAUUUUAGUGGUAUGCCUUAGAGACUAUCGCUCAUAUUCUUAAUAUAGUCCCUACAAAGAAAGUUGCCAGAACUCCUCUUGAUAUGUGGACUAGAAAAGUUCCCAAUCUAGACCACAUCAAGAUUUGGGGUUGCGUGAGGUGUGAGACUAACGAUAAGCUCGAACCUCGAAGUGAGCGGUGUAUUUUCAUCGGCUACCCACAGAAAUCCGUUGGUUACCUCUUCUACAGACCCAGUGAGAAUGUGGUCUUUGUAGCAAGGAGGGGUGUCUUGCGAGAGAGAGAGAGAGAGAGAGAGAGAGAGAGAGAGAGAGAGUUUAUAAGCCAAGGAAACAGUGGGAGGAAAAUUGACCUUGAAGAAAUUCAAGACUCAAGUGGUCAAGGAACUUCAAACCCUAGCAGUCAACCUGAGGAGGAAACUCCUGUUGAUCCAGUUGACAAGUCUAUACCUCUGAGGCAUUCCAUAAGAGUUAGGAAUGCACCUGAGCAUUACUAUGGUUUUCAUACUACUGUGGAAGGUGGUACACUUAUCAGUGAUGAGACAUUGGUAAGUCUGGAUGAACCUAACAGCUAUGCGGAAGCCAUAGCAGGCCCCGAGUCUGCUAAAUGGAAAGAGGCAAUGGAUAGCGAGAUACAGUCCAUGUAUGACAAUCAAGUUUGGAACUUGGUUGACAAUGUACCAGGUCGUAAGCCAGUCGGGGCAAAUGGAUCUUCAAGAAGAAGACCGACAUAGAUGGUAUUGUACACACUUAUAAGGCGCGGCUGGUUGCAAAGGGCUUUUCUCAAACUCUGGGAGUUGAUUAUGAUGAGACCUUUUCACCAUUAGCCAAGAUUAAGUCUAUUAGGGUUAUGUUAUCCAUUGGUGCAUUUCAUGACUAUGAAAUAUGGCAAAUGGAUGUCAAAACCGCUUUCCUUAAUGGAAAGUUGGUUGAGGAUGUUUACAUCAGUCAGACAGAGGGUUUUGUCAGUACAGAGUACCCUAAUAGAGUGUGCAAGCUUGAGAAAUCCAUCAAUGGAUUGAAACAAGCACCUCGCAGAUGGAAUAUUUGCUUCGAUGAGAAAGUCAAAAAGUUUGGCUUUUCGAGGAGUGAAGAUGAAUCUUGUGUAUAUGUCAAGGCUAGUGGGAGUAUAGUUAGCUUUUUGGUACUGUAUGUAGAUGACAUACUACUCAUAGGAAAUGACAUCCCCACCUUGCAGGAAGUGAAGUCUUGGCUUGGGAAGUGUUUCUCUAUGAAGGACCUUGGAGAAGCUGCCUAUAUCCUACGGAUAAGGAUUCUGAGAGACCAGAGUAAAACACUAAUUGGACUUAGUCAGAGUACCUACUUGGAUAAGGUGUUGAAUAGGUUCAACAUGCAUGAUUCCAAGAAAGGAGAGUUUUCUAUCUAGAGUAACGCCAGAUUGAGUAAGACUCAAAGCCCGAGUACUGAGGCUGAGAUAGCAGAAAUGAGUCGAGUACCUUAUGCUUCCGCUAUAGGAUCGAUCAUGUAUGCUAUGAAUUGUACUCGUCCUGAUAUGGCCUUUGCCUGGCAAGGCUCACUGGACUGCGGUAGAGGACAUUCUCAAGUACCUACGGAGGACUAAGGAUUGGGUCCUUACUCUCGGUGGGAGUGAUGAUUUGAAAGUUGUAGGGUGUAGUGAUGCUAGCUUCCAAACUGAUAGGGAUAAUUUCUGCUCUCAGUCAGGCUGGGUCUUUACCUUAAACGGAGGAGCAAUUACUUGGAAAAGUUCCAAGCAGGAGACAGUGGCUGGUUUAACUUGCGAAUCAGAGUAUAUAGCAGCAAGCAAGGCAGCAAAUGAGGCAAUAUGCUUAAAGAACUUCAUUGGAGACCUUGGAGUUGUAACAACUAUAAAGGAGCCUAUGGAGAUUUUCUGCAAUAGUGAAAGUGUUAUUGCCUUAGCCAAGGAACCAAGGGAUCACGGAAGAUCCAAACACAUCGACAGAAAAUACCAUUUCAUAAGACAUCGAAUAGAAGAAGGACUCCUCGUGGCAAAGAGGGUAUCAUCAGAUGAGAACCCAACAGAUCCCCUCACAAAGGGACUGGAUAGGGUUAAGCAUCUCCAACAUGCGAGGCGCAUAGGGCUGAAGGAUGAUAUUAGUUUUAGUAGUUAGAUAGCUCUGAAUUUUGUAAAGUGUAAUUGACAUUUGAUGAAGAAUAAAAUUUGUGUUUAUUUAUGAGUAAAGUGUUGCUAUAUUUUGUCAAUCGUUUAUUAUUAUUUCUUUUGCAUGUUUUGACUUCCAUAAUAUUUAUGUUAUGUAUUACAUAUUAUUCAAAUUCUCCACAGCUGGUCAUAUGUCGGAAGUAGAUAUGAAUCAAGACUAUCAUGAGGUUGGCUUGUAGAUGUCUAAAUUGUUGGACAUAGCAAAGUGGUACUACAACACUUCAUGAGUACUCAUAAGUUCCGAGUAUUGGACUCAACCCACACUCACUUGCAUCACUUCAUGGAAUUUAUCUCGAGUGAUCGUGAGAUGGUAAUAUCAUAUAAGUCUUCAAACCUAGAGAUAUGAGUUGUUGCCUAUGAGUUGGUUAUACAUUGACUGUACGAAAAUGCAUUGGUAACUCGAUGUUAUAAAACGUGCCUUUAUGUAUGAUACAACAAGUAGUAGAACAAGCAUAUGAGUCGAAGUUUAUAUGUUCCUUCUUGGAUUAGAAGCGAUAUGUAGGCCCCUCGAUGAUUUUGUUUUGACCUAUCUACCGGGCCCGGUCAAAACUAAAUUGAUGUGUUCGAUUAAGUUAUUUGUCAAACAAAUCGAAAAUCGGGAAACAAACUGCUGGAUAAUAAGUAAGACAUUGUUCCAUGUAUUUGUCCGGCUGAUAUCUAGAACAGAGUAUUAUAUGAUCACUUAUCUUAAAUGGCGUAUCAUCAUCAUCUCAGUUCCGAGAGACCUUGAAAGAGCUACGAUUGCUGAUCAGUUCCUGGAGUCAUACUUGCAGUUAUAGUUAUUAGACUUAUCCGAAUAGGAGACUGUUGGAUAAGGUGUCUAAGUCCAUAACUAUUUAUGGUAUGUACUUGACCUGGUUUGGCAUGGUCCAUUUGGGUUGCAUGGCAUCAUGCAUUUAGAUAGACUAAAAUGAGAGAAAUAACACUUAUGGUUUAUUAAUAUAUUAUAAGUUCAAAUAUAUUAAUAAUAUUAUUUAAUUAUUAUUGAUCAAGAAUUAAUUUGGAAUUAAUUAAGUGAUCAAAAGGAUACUAAUUAAAUAUAUGGGUUGAUUGUGUAAAUCAUCCAUACUUGUAUAGUGGGCUAAUGCUCCAUGGAUUAAUCAAGUUAAGCUAAAACCCAUAGGAUGUUCCAUGGAUGCUCCAUGGCAGUUAUAAACCCAUUGAUCAUGGAAAUGAAGAGUCAUGUCACAUUAGGGUUUACAUGGUGUAACCCUAAUUGUAACACACUAUAUAAGGACCCUUAUGCUCACCAAAAUCGGCUACACUAAGAAAUAGAAAGGGCAAGCCGAUUUUAGAAGUGUUCUACAUUUCUCUCAAGUCAUUCCAAUAGCAUUUGGUGUUGUGUGGGACAAUUGAGGCAUCACACUUAGGGUGCUAGGCUCACAAGGUUUUCAAGGAAUCCAAUAACUACAAGGUAUGUUUUCUAGCUAUCUUUUAUGAUUAAAAGUUCCCAAUGUAUGCUAGAUAGGAUUAAGAACCUUGGAAAUCAAAUUUUGCAAGUAUUUUAGACAAACAUAGAUCCAAGGUUUCUAGGGUUGCAUGUACACCUUAGAAGUGUUAGAAUGUUCAAAAACCCUACAAUAUGAUGUUUAAUAUAUGAAUAUGGUUUUCUUAAUAAUUAAAAAUGAAAUUUUUGGACUGUAUUUUUGGGAUGUUUCAUCAAUGGAGCACUUGAGGUUCAUUAAGCAUGUGACAAAGGAACAGAUCUUCUAAGAAAGGAAUGGAUCAUCAGGAAAAGCAACGGAUCAUGUACAAAGGGGUUUGGAGCACCUCGAUGAGAUUUGGAGCACUUGGAAUAGGUUUGGAGCACUUCGGAGGGAUAUGGAGGAACACGGAGUCCUUGUUGCGCCAUUCGAUAAAGGGAUGGGCCAAGAGGGAAGCUCUUGCACCGUCUUGUUUUCCUCUUGUGCCAAGAUGCUACUUGUUGCGCCAUGCAUGGCCUUGUUGCGACAUGCAUGUGCCCGUUGCUCCAUGGUGAUGUUGUUUCUCCAAGAUUGAUGUUUAUGCGCCAUACUUGAUGCUCUUGUGCCAUUUAUAUCCCUGUUGCGCCAUCUAGGGUUAUUGUUGCGAUAUCAUGGAACAUCUUGGUACAUGAUGCGUCAUAUUGAUUCCUUUAUUGUGCCAUGUUGAUCCAAGUAUGCCUAGAAGAUGAUAAUGCCCAAGAAUGUUCUAGAAGAUAUUGCAUGGCGGGAUAUGAGUGGUUGUAACCUGAUGUGCACAAAAGUACCCACUAAUUUUAAUAUUUAUAACCUAACAAACUUAGACUAACUAUGCACUUAUAGGCAGUGUACCUAGUCAGAUUACAGUAUAGCUUAGCUAAGUCGGGUGUCGAUCACAGGGAACGAUGGUGAAUUAAUUCAAAAUAUUUGAUUAUAAGUUACAGGUCACACGAAAAGAAUAAAGAUGUAGUUUAAUAAAUCUCAAAUGAACAAUUAAUUAACAACUCUCGAUAAACUAAUAGGAAAUCAAAUCUCUUCAAGUACUUUGGUUUAGAUAAAUUACACCUUAAAAACAUAGAAAAUUGCAUACACAAAUUCAUUUAUUCAUGUUCAUCGAUUCCUAAAAUGAUUAGAUUCGCGUUCACUAUAACUAAUCCUUUAGCAAACAAGUCAAUUCAAACAGUGAUCGGUUGAUUAAACUAACAUGCGUCCUAGUGUUCAGUUCGUAUCAAGCAAGACUUGUAAAUAUAGUUAAUCAAAUUGGUCGUUCAAUUAACCUCUUGUUGAUGGUCAUCUAACAAGGCUCACACGUUAACUUACUUAUUCCCAAGUUAAUCCUACUUUCACAUUCGUUAUUCCUAGACAUAUAAUCUUGAUGGUCAUCAAAAUCAUAAGAGACAAGCAAUCAAGCAGAUGUUCAUACAACUCAAUUUACUUAAUAAUUAACAGCAAAUAAUUAUCAUUAACACAUAAGGAUCUUUUAACAAGCUUGGCAAGAUAAAUUAAGCAUCAACAAACAAUUUAAUAUAGCAAUUAGUCUAAUAAUCAAGGUUUCAUUCAAUCAUAAACGCAAAGUAAAAGGUUUUUACACCCAAAUCACAAACUAAAUACAGAAUAGUAUCACAAUGGACUGCUAAACAUGGUCACGUUAACAACCCAUAUGAUUACCGACAUGUAUCCGCUCUCUAAUCCUUCCGAUCUCCGCUCCCGUUAGCUUAACGGCCUUCCGGCCGCCAUCUAGACCCUCAAAACGGCUUAACAGAAGUUUAAUAUCGACUAAAUUAGGUUGGAAGUCGAAUCCCCCCCCUUCUGGUAGCUGAUAAUCGACUUUUAUAAGCCUUGUAACCGACUUACGUACGCUGGGCGUAAGUCGGAUUACCCUAGGCGUAGUGAAGAUUAUUACGCGAUUGGAGUUAUCUGAUGCCAGCCAUUACGCGGGGCGUAAUCAUAUAUUACGCUGGGCGUAACUCGACUUAGCCAUUACGCUUGGCGUACAUGUGAAUUACGCGGGGCGUAAAUGGUUCCUCCAGCAUUUUUCCUUUCUUUUAGCCUCUAAGCCCGAUUUCCGCUUCAGUCUUUUCUUUUGUGCUUUAUCGACAACGAAUAGCUGCAAAACAUAAUUCAAAGUAUUAUGAGUACUUUUUAGUUCUAAAAUAGAAUAAAUAAGGCCAAAAUAUUAAGAUAAAGUGCAUAAAAAUAUAUAUAAAAAUACACAUAUCAAAAUACCCCACACUUAGCCUUUGCUUGCCCCCAAGCAAAUUUACUUUUAUUCUACCAAUAUCGCACUAAACAAUCCAUUUAAAACUCAGCCAUUAUGUCAAGACCGCAAUGCAUGCAUUUGUGUCUAAAAUAUUCCUAAAGUACCCCCCAUACUUUAAAUACUCACAAUCUUCAUAAACAGUCACCCACUUUUUCCGAACAAUGCUCAUUUUAUGCAAGCCUCCGAAUCUAUCCGCAGAAAACCUCCUUAUCCUCAAGGUAUUUCUAGUUGAGCAACCUAAGCAUACAUAAUCUAGAAUUACAAUUUAUGAUACCACUAUGGAGCUUCUUGAAUUCUUCACUUCCUUGAUAAUUUGAUCUUUGAUUUCUUUGAAUUCACCACCUUAUUUGAUUUGAUUUUUGGUAUCUUCAACUUUUUUGAAUUCUUGGAAUUUUGAUCUUUUGAUCUUCACUUUAUUCGCUCCAAAAUUCUUCAAUCUUUUCUUGUAAUUCUCUCUCUCUUCUUUUUUUUACAUGUACCUCACUUUUUUCACUCAAAACCUACAUGCUUAAGCAGAGGCGCUGAACCUCAACCUUUAUUGGUUAAUGAUAAUAAUUUUCCUGGAUACAUUUCAGGUUUAGGCUGCUAAACAUAUUGCAUCCCUUAAACUAAGCGAGGUUGUGUUUUUGUUCCAUGAUUUCACUAAAAUAAGGGAGGCCACAAAUGCACUAUAACGUAUAUUGGCUCAACUAAACAUUUGAGUUCUCAUCAGAUCAUCUCAUACCAUAUUAGCAAAAAUUUUAAAUUAUUACUAGAUUUUCUAAAUUAAACUAUGAUUUCAAGUUAAUAAUUUUUAAAUUGUCCUAAAUCUAGCAAUUUCCAAACUAUUAUUUUAUUUUUAUAAUUUACUAUUACCGACCCCCUACCCCACACUUAUUUCAUACAAUGCCCUCAUUGUAUACAUAAAACUAACAGUAAAAAGGGAGAAAAAGGAACAGACUCCCCUGGGGUAGUUGUGGCGAGAUCGAAUGGGGCUACUACAAGUUGCUCCAAAUAUUGAUGAAAGACUGAAAACUGGAACUGCUGCUUCUGAAUUUUGCCGAAAAAUAAAAUCAAGACUGCCGACUUCGAAAAAAAUGUGGUGCAAAAGAUUGCAACAAAUGCAAUGUAUAGUAACCAUGACAUGGGAAAGUGUCGACCACGUCGUUUCGUCAAGAAUGACAUCGUCCUCUCACGAUGAAAAAUCCCCUACAACAUAGGAAAGUGUCAACCAUGUCAUGGCAGCCGGGAUGAUACUUCUUCCUCGCGUUGAAAUAAAACUCUAUGGUGUGAGAACAGCUCAAACAUACCAUAUAUAUCAAAAUAGCGUAAAAAUGCCAAUCUUCUAAACAAACACUCACGAAAUCAAUAUGCACCCCACACUUAUGACAAAUUGUGGGUCUUGACUAUAAUCUUCGAACUCUCACACGGCUCUCUCUAGCAACAGUCGGACCUAGCUGCUGAACUUACUGCCAGCUUUCUAAGGGCGAAAAUUCUGUAAAGAUCUAAAUCAACCAAAGAGCAUCAACAUGGAAAACAAAAGUAAAACAAAAAUAAGCAGUCUAACUUAAUUACAUACCAAAUAAAAAUACUAAUACUAAGCAACACAAAAUAAAAUAAACUAAAAAUAAAAAGGAUAACUAAAUCACUCAUAUCUCCAUCAUCAUGCUGAUGCGUCCCAGAAGUACCGGCUCCAUCAUGUCGUGACUGGAAUGGUGGAGGGAAAGGAACCGAGUACAGAAACCCCUGGUGGGCAAAGAAUGCAGUCAACGCAUCCCCAUACCACUGCUGUUGUCUGUCCACAUGUGCAACAUACUCACCAAGGUUCUAAACCCUCAUGUCAAGACGGUCAAUGCCCUGAGCUAGGUAACGCAUAUCAAUCUCCGGCUCAGGACCCUGCUGCGCUCCCCGAGGAGCAGGUCUACGCCGCUGUACCCGUCUCGGCUGUGGCUCGACGGCACCCUCCUCGUCCACCACAUCAUCUGCUCGUGCCCGCAAGACACCAUCUCCGCCCCGCUCAAGUACACGCAUCGACUCUAAUAACUAAAGGCUCAUCGGCCUCAUAUCAUGAAACACCAUCGAUCUCGUAAUCUCACGCGUCAACAACUGAUAUGAUCGAGCUAAUCGCGUGAUAAAAUGCCCCCCGCAAAUCGGGCUAUCCUCCCGAAGUCCCCUGGCCCUCCUACCCAAAUAAGCGGCUAAAGCAACUGGAAGGUUCAGGUGCCUCCCUGGAGUAACAAGUGCCCAUAAGAAAUACAAGUCUGUCGAAGGCACUCUCUCACUGUUGUUAUGAUGCGUGAGAGAUAUGGAAAUCAAACGGUGUAGUAGUCUGUAUGUAGUAGACCGAAUCAUCCUCCCCCGUGCAGUAGAUGGCGUAUAUAAUCCCCCUGUAAUCUCGGCCCAAAAAGUGUUCUCGUUAUAGUCAUAUGGCCGGUCCGUGAGACAAUCAGCAAGGAAUGACGGAAAGUGGACACUCCUCGUCUCAUCUGCUGUAUAUAUACCAACUCGAGUCGCAAGCUCUAUCACACUGCAUUCCCGGCUCACACCCCCCAGUCUAAAGGCAAAGGUUGUCCUAUCAUCGGGUGCCUUCCUAGGGUCAUAGGAAACUGUAGCGUAAAACUCCAGCAAAAUUCCCGAUAAACAGGCUCCUGGAUCCUGAACAAUCGUGCCCAUCCCUGACAUAUGAACAAAUGCACUCCACUCGCGUCCGUGUGCGUGUAUUGCAAAAAAUCCUGGAUCAGCGUAGCAAGUCCAGUCCGGGUCGCCAAUUCCCAGUCGAAUGAUGGUGCUAUGUCGAUCUCCUUAGCGAGAAGCAAACUCAAAUUGUUGACAUAUCGUGCUCAGGUUGCAUCGUUUAAAGUUUGCGGAAAUUGUAAGAAACGGUGAUCGGUCACGUCCUCGGGUGGGUUGGUCCUUUGAGUUCGUCGGGCCAUAAUCUGCAUAAAUAGACACCAACACAAGACCAAACAAAAUAUCACAUCAUUAACAAUUUUUAAACCAAAAUAAUGGUCCUGGACUUGGUCUGUAUGCUGGGCGUACAUCCAGCAUACGCUGGGCGUACGUCCAGGUUUGCGAAUCUGUCCCCCAGCUCAUUCAAAGGCCAUACAAUACACUCCAACAAACUACGCAGGAGUAUUCUACAAGAUAUUCAAAUAAAAUGGGGUAAGAAUCCCCUGUUGUUCUAAAAGCAAUACCCAUGACAAAGCUUUUAAAUUAAGCAUAUACGCAGGUAGUAAAUACUUCAGGGGUCGAACACAUGGGGGCAUAUCGAACAUACAACUGUGUGGUUCAAGGCAGUAGAAAAAAAAAUGGGACCACCCUUAAACUUAUGUCUAAGAAUUACGAAUCAAUCCCCUGUUCGUUCCUUAUCUAUUCAAGAUUAGCAAACACUACACAAGAAAAACUUCAUUGAAGCAGUAAAAGAAUCGAAGCCGAGUAUAGGCGUACGCUAGGCGUCCGUCCCCAAGCUCAAAUCGGCGGUCAUGGGACGGGAUUAAGACCAAAUUAGGUCCUAGGGUUUAGUCUAUUGAUCAAAAUCGGUCUAUUUAAGCCAUAAUCAGUCAUACAUUUGUGAAAUCGGCCCCUAAUUUGAGAAAUACAUGAACCCUAGAUUUCGAACAAAGGCAUAAUGCAGCUUAUUUCAUUAAUUCAAACACAAAUCAAAGACAUAGAGUAACCGAAUAACAUACCUUUGUGUUGAAUUUUACAAGAAAAGAAGAAAAAAUUGAGAUUCUUUGGGAGGGCUUGUCGUCACAGCGUAUGGGAAGGAGAGGAGUUUGAAAGAAUAAAAAAAAGUCAAAGGUAAACAGAUAAAACCUGGUCGUCGAUUUAUGAUGGGCGUAACGCGAAGUUACGCGGGGUGUAACCCCAACUCCGUGAAAAGGUCAUCCGCGAUCAAUGGUUUAUUACGCUUGGCGUAAUUUAAAAUUACGCUGGGCGUAAUUUUAAAUGAAACAUUUCAUUUUCCUUAUUUGAAAUUCCUUUUUCCACUAAUUAAUUUGGGGACCUAUAAUUAUUUUUUUCUUUUUAAUUGCUUCAACAACAGCCAUGACUUUCCGAUGAGUGACAUUAACAUGAGACGUCAUAGUCACUUGUCUUUGUCAAGAUCAAACAACAAUGGUUGAUUAAAACCCUUGCACGCAAGAAUUGGUUUGUGAAAAUAACCACUUUCGGGACCCGUUAGAAUAUUUCCUUUGUUUUCUUCGCACAUUUAACUAAAAGCUGAACAAGAAGUGACCUAACUAGUCAAGAACAGCAAGAGCUCGGUCUUCCACUUAACCACCACAAUACGCCUUGCUAUACUACGCCUCAUGGAUUGAGUUGGACAAUUCAACAAAGUAGUAGGCUAAGCAGGUCAAAAAUUCCCUAAUCGCUUGCAUUCUCAAAACCCAUGCAAAAAGUAAAGUCAAACAAUAUGUAUGAUCCCAAAUUCCUGCAAAUAACAACAAGAACCUUCCCGACAAGUGAAAUGAUAUCAUCGAAAAUAAACUCUAAAAUAAAAACUAACUAAACUAACAAAUAAGAAAUAAUCAAAUAAACUAAAUUAAUGACAAGCCGUUCCCCGGCAACGGAGCCAAAAACUUGAUGUGCACAAAAGUACCCACUAAUUUUAAGAUUUAUAACCUAACAAACUUAGACUAACUAUGCACUUAUAGGCAGUGUACGUAGUCAGAUUACAAUAUAGCUUAGGUAAGUCGGGUGUCAAUCACAGGGAACGGUGGUGAAUUAAUUCAAAAUAUUUGAUUAUAAGUUACAGGUCACACGAAAAGAAUAAAGAAGUAGUUUAAUAAAUCUCAAACGAACAAUUAAUUAACAACUCUCGAUAAACUAACAGGAAAGCAAAUCUCUUCAGGUACUUUGGUUUAGAUAAAUUACACCUUAAAAACAUAGACAAUUGCAUACACAAAUUCAUUUAUUCAUGUUCACCGAUUCCUAAAAUGAUUAGAUUCGCGUUCACUAUAACUAAUCCUUUAGCAAACAAGUCAAUUCAAACAGUGAUAAGUUGAUUAAACUAACAUGCUUCCUAGUGUUCAGUUCGUCUCAAGCAAGACUUGUAAAUAUAGUUAAUCAAAUUGGUCAUUCAAUUAACCUCUUGUUGAUGGUCAUCUAACAAGGCUCACACGUUAACUUACUUAUUCCCAAGUUAAUCCUAGUUUCACAUUCGUUAUUCCUAGACAUAUAAUCUUGAUGGUCAUCAAAAUCAUAAGAGACAAGCAAUCAAGCAGAUGUCCAUACAACUCAAUUUACUUAAUAAUUAAUAGCAAAUAAUUAUCAUUAACACAUAAGGACCUUUUAACAAGCUUGGAAAGAUAAAUUAAACAUCAAAAAACAAUUUAAUAUAGCAAUUAGUCUAAUAAUCAAGGUUUCAUUCAAUCAUAAACGCAAAGUAAAAGCUUUUUACACCCAAAUCAGAAACUAAAUAUAGAAUAGUAUCACAAUGGAAUGCUAAACAUGGUCACGUUAACAACCCAUAUGAUUACCGACAUGUAUCCUCUCUCCAAUCCUUCCAAUCUCCGCUCCCGUUAGCUUAACGGCCUUCCGGCCGCCUUCUAGACCCUCAAAACGGCUUAACAAAAGUUUAAUAGCGACUAAAUUAGGUUGGAAGUCGAAUCCCCCCCUUCUGGUAGCUGAUAAUCGACUUUUAUAACCCUUGUAACCGACUUACGUACGCUGGGCGUAAGUCGGAUUACGCUAGGCGUAGUGAAGAUUAUUACGUGAUUGGAGUUAUCUGAUGCCAGCCAUUACGCAGGGCGUAAUCAUAUAUUACGCUGGGCGUAACUCGACAUAGCCAUUACGAUUGGCGUACUUGUGAAUUACGCGGGGCGUAAAUGGCUCCUCCAGCAUUUUUCCUUUCUUUUAGGCUCUAAGCCUGAUUUCCGCUUCAGCUUUUCUUUUGUGCUUUAUCGUCAACGAAUAGCUGCAAAACAUAAUUUAAAGCAUUAUGAGUACUUUUUAGUUCUAUAAGAGAAUAAUAAAGGCCAAAAUAUUAAGAUAUAAUGUAUAAAAAUAUAUAUAAAAGUACACAUAUCAUAACCAUUCAUGGGCCUAUGGGCCAAUGGGCUUGGCCUAUUAGGGUUUUAGGUAUGAUCCCUCAAGUAUAAAUAGACUCAUAUAUCCAUCAUUGUAGGUGUGUAGAUAUUUCAAGAAAGUAAUCACUGUGAGGUUGAGAUCACUCCUUUAGAGCAGUUAGUAAGCAAGAUAGAUUCUUUUGUUUUUAGAGCUCAAGUGAGGUGUAACCUUUGUGUGUGAUUGAAUUUGUUCUUGGAAUUUCAGAGUUCAAGUGAGGUGUAACCUUUUUGUAUGAUUGUAUUUUUUUUAUUGGAAGUUAAUAAAAUCCUCUCUCUCUCUCUCUCUCUCUCUCUCAUUCGCCCGUGGAUGUAGGUCAUCUUGACCGAACUACGUUAAAUAUCUCUCAUUCGCCCGUGGAUAUAGGUCAUAAAUAUUGUGUUCACUUGAUUUACAUUUUUAGAAGUUUUAUUUUCUCAAGUUCAUCGAAGUUUGUUUUGAUAUUUGUCUGAAGUGCUUAACUUGUUUUGUUGCCACCCAACAAUUGAUCUACUUACGGGAGUGAUAUCUAGGCUAGAUUUAGUGAUGUGUUUAAAGUGAGAUUCCAAACAAUAUACUCUAUAUACCAAACAGAUCCUACCUCCGAUAUGAUCAGGCCUGGUUAUUCCUUACUUGAUAGAUCUUUAUAUAGACAUUGAGAUUAUUGGGGAAUCUAGAGUAUCAUUAAAUAGUCGCCAGGAUUAUGAAACUAGACUAAGGAUUAUGUGACAUCCCCAAAAUUUCGGCCAGAAAAGACCGAUUUUCAUUUAUGCUUUUAAAUAUUUUCAGAGUAAAUCCUUUUGAUUUGAAAGAGUUGCGGAAUUUGUUCCCAAAAACAAAACAUGAUAAAACAUUGUUUACCGAAGCAUUUCAUAAAAGAAAUGUAUUUUCAUUAUAAUCAAAACUCGGGGUGUCAUGUUCCGAUACAGACCAAUAAGCAUAAACGAAUACAUUACAAGUCAUAUAGCAAAUAUAAACAUAUGCAGACUUGUAAACAAAACAACUUGAUGGUUCAUCCAUCUCAUGCCCUUCCGCCACUACCUGUAAUACAAUUUAAAACUGAGUGGGUCAGGCUUGGGAGCCUGGUGAGCAUAUAGGGUUUUCAACCCACAAUAAAUAUCAUAUUUAAUUUUCACCAACCAACAAUAACCCAAUUACCCAUUCCCGUUAUUCUCACUUUAAUGUCCCUAAAACAACUAACAUAAGGGACCUAGUCUAAGAAUAUUUCAUCGGGGCGACAACACAUGCUUCGGGGGUACCUCAGCAAUAUAAGUCAAAUAAGGCAACCAUGAGGGGGAUGGAGUACAGCGAAUGAACACCCAAGUUCAUUAACACCUACAGGUGGCGAACCUGCUAAUGUUUCCACAAGACUGUCUAGAAUAGCCAGUGGUCGUCAUCUAAACUCCGCUAGAUGACUCAAUCAAACAACAACGAGGCCUCUCAUCUGUUUAUUACACACCAACUGUCUACCCAUGUUCUACCCAACAUAUUAGUAGAUAAAAAUAUACAUUUGUAUACAUAGUUUAAAGAAAACCUGUAUAGCAUGCUUUAAUCAACACAUAUAUCACAUAACAGAUGAGGCACACACACACAUAACACAUAUCUCAUAAAGAAAUAAGCAGAUCUAUAAGAUAGAAGAGAGUGAAUACUCAUUCACACAUAACACAACCAAAUAUAUACACAUAGCACGUAUUUUUAUAUAAAAUACUUCGUAUUAUUGUAUUAGAAGAAAUAACUACACACUCACUUGAUCAGAAGAUGAUCGGACAGCACUACGGCUUAUAGAAGUAGUAAUCCACAGCAGAUCUGGAAGAUCUUCUCGAAAAUCGAACUUCUCGCGGGCAGAGCUUCGACUCGGGAACCGCACUUUUCGGGAUCUUCAGGAUCUCGGGACUUGCCUCGGGGCUAGAGUAUGAUACCGGGACUUCGGGGUAGCUUCGGGGGUUUUUGCACAGAGCUUCGACACGAAAACGAGAGGGAAUUGGCAAAAAUACCCGGAACCCUCGCAUCCUAUUUAUAGGAGGCUGGAGCCUCGGAGUACGCGGGGCGUACUGCGUUACGCGGGGCGUACUGCCCAAAACGUCAUUGCUUACGUAUCCGAAGUGCUCGAGUGCGAGUGUCGACAUCCCUCGGAGUACGCGGGGCGUACUCGAGUACGCGGGGCGUACCUCGGAUCAGAUCGGUGACUCCUUCGGAUAAUGCUUCCGAAUUUUGAAUUAAAAAUAAAUACAAAAUGAUUAAUAAACUUCGGAAAUUCAUAACUUCUUCAUACGAACUCCGUUUUCGACGUUCUUUAUAUCCACGCGAAGGUGAGACCACGCUCUACGACUUUCGUUUAGACUCCGUCGGCUAAUUUUGACUUUAUUUUUAUUAAUUAUUUUUAAUAGGCCGGGACAGAAACUUUCGUUAUAAAUUCAUAACUUCUUCGUUUGACGUCCGUUCUCGCCUAACUUUUUAUCGUUUCAAUACCAACAAUGAGAUCUUCGAUUCUCAUUUAGAUUGCUUCGGCUAACAACCGCUCGAUCUCAAAUCGAGUAAAACAGGCUGUAUAUCGCUAAGCCGGAACUUCGAUAAAUCAUAACUUCCUCAUACGAAGUCAGAUUUGGGCGUUCUAUAUAUAUUCGGAAACCUCGUUUCAACUACUACAACAUUAACCAAAGAUAUUAAGUUUAUUUUACACUUAAAUUUUGACGCUUAUUUUUAUUCUUAAUUAAUCAAACCACAUAAUUAAGCAAUUAAGCACAAAACACAUAAUACUCAAAUAAUACAAUCUUAUUAUUUCAAAACGGGUUACAAAGGUUAACCUAGACUAUUACAUUGCUAAAAAUGGCAAGCCCGGAAACACAGGCGUUACAAUUCUCUCCACCUUAGAAUGAUUCCGUCCCCGGAAUCACACAUCAACAAACAAAUGCGGAUAGCGACUCAACAUGUCACUCUCCGUCUCCCAGGUGAGAUUCGGCCCAUUCGUGUGUUUCCAUCGGACAAGCACUAACCCAACCAUUUUGCGUCGCAACUUCUUAGUCUUUCGGUCAACAAUUGCCUCUGGUUCUUCAAUCAACCUUUUGUUCUCAUCAAUUCUCAAUUCAGAAAUUGGAAUUAUAUCGGGAACUUCUCCCGUGAACUUCCUCAAAUAACACACAUGAAAGGUGUUGUGAAUUCCAUUCAGUUCUUCGGGUAAUUCGAGCUUGUAAGCUUGAUUCCCAAUCCUCUGAAGGACUUUAAACGGUCCAAUAAACCUUGGACUCAACUUUCCCCUUUUACCAAAUCUUAUAAGUCCCUUCCACGGCGAGACUUUAAGCAAAACCGAAUCUCCAACCUCAAAAGUCAUCGGUCUUCGCUUCUUGUCAGCAUAGCUCUUUUGACGAUCUUGAGCUGCUAACAUUCUUUCCCUAAUUAUUUUCAACUUUUCAGCAGUUUGAUGAACCAUCUCCGGUCCCAUAAACUGCUUUUCCCCAGCCUCAAGCCAACAAGACGGCGUACGACACUUCUGUCCAUACAAAGCUUGAUAAGGUGCCAUCUUAAUGCUCGAGUGAAAACUAUUAUUAUAGGAAAAUUCUACCAACGGUAAAUGUUCAUCCCAAUUACCUAGGAAUUCCAAGGUACAUGCUCUCAGCAUAUCUUCAAGUGUUUGUAUUGUUCUUUCACUCUGACCAUCAGUCUGCGGAUGGUAAGCUGUGCUUAAACAUAACUUGGUACCCAUUUCCUCUUGUAGACUUUUCCAAAACCUUGAGGUGAAACGGCUAUCACGAUCCGAUACAAUCGUUAACGGAACACCGUGAAGCCUCACAAUUUCCUUCACGUAAGAAUUCGCAAGCUUUUCCAUAGACCAUUUCUCCCUGGCCGCUAUGAAAUGCGCACUCUUAGUGAAUCGAUCAACGACCACCCAAAUCAUGUCGUGACCAUUCUUUGUUCUGGGCAGUUUAGUGACAAAAUCCAUAGCAAUGUCUUCCCACUUACCCAUAGGCACAGGCAAUGGUUCUAAACUCCCGUAAGGUUUCUGAUGUUGUGUCUUGACUCUCGCACAAGUCACACACUCGGCCACAUACUUUGCAACAUCAAGCUUCAUCGUCGGCCACCAGUAGUAGGGUUUCAGGUCCCUAUACAUUUUAGUGCUACCCGGAUGAAUUGAGUACAUGGUUUUGUGAGCUUCUUCCAUCAGAAGAUCCCUAAUUCCUCCUGACUUAGGUACCCAAAUACGAUCUUGGAAUACCUUCAGUCCAUGACCGUUAGUACCAAACACCAACGUUUUACCCAAACGUUCCUCCUUUCGGUCAUUUUUCUCAGAAGCUUCCUCUUGAGCUUUCUUUAUACUUUCCACAAUAGUCGAGACAACUUCAAUUCUCAACGCUCUUGGCCUCUUCCUUUCAAGAUUGACUUUCCGACUGAGAGCAUCAGCAACAACAUUAGCUUUACCGGGGUGGUAAAGUAUCUCGCAGUCGUAGUCUUUAAGUAAUUCUAGCCAGCGUCGUUGCCUCAUAUUCAAUUCUUUCUGAUUAAAGAGGUAUUGGAGACUCUUAUGAUCAGUGAAAAGUUUGCACUUCGUGCCAUAGAGGUAAUGCCUCCAUAUUUUCAGAGCGAAAACUACCGCUGCCAACUCCAAAUCAUGAGUCGGGUAAUUCUUUUCAUGCUCUUUCAGCUGUCGAGACGCAUAUGCUAUCACCUUUUCUCUUUGGGUCAAAACACAACCCAAUCCAACACCAGACGCAUCGCUAUAAACAGCGAAGUCUUCAACUCCAUCGGGUAGAGAAAGUAUCGGUGCCUCGCAUAGCUUCUUCUUUAACUUCUCGAAUGCUUCUUUAUGCUUCUCACUCCAAGCAUAAGUAGCUCCUUUGUGGGUCAAAGCUGUUAAUGGAGUAGCAAUCGAAGAAAAGCCUUGGAUAAACCUUCGGUAAUAUCCGGCUAAUCCUAAAAAGCUUCGAAUCUCCGUGGGACUUUUCGGUUGUUCCCACUUCGUCACAGCUUCGAUCUUCGCUGGAUCAACCAUUAUCCCUUCUUGGUUGACCACGUGACCCAAGAAUUGGACCUCACGAAUCCAAAAAUCACAUUUGGAGAACUUCGCAUAAAGCUUCUCCUUCUUCAAAACUUCUAACACUUCUCGCAAGUGUCUGCCAUGCUCCUCCUGGCUUUUCGAGUAGAUCAGAAUGUCGUCUAUGAACACUAUCACGGAUUUAUCAAGGAAAGGAUUACAAACCCUAUUCAUCAAAUCCAUGAACGCUGCUGGAGCAUUGGUUAGUCCAAACGACAUAACCAAGAACUCGUAGUGUCCAUAUCUAGUUCUGAAUGCAGUCUUCUCGAUAUCUUGCUCUCUUACUUUCAGCUGAUGAUAUCCUGACCUAAGAUCGAUCUUCGAGAAAUAGCUCGAACCUUGCAAUUGAUCAAACAGGUCAUCAAUCCUCGGCAACGGAUAUCUAUUCUUUAUUGUUGCCUUGUUCAGCUCUCUGUAAUCGAUGCACAUUCUCAUACUUCCAUCUUUCUUCUUUACAAAUAACACCGGAGCUCCCCAGGGCGAUGAACUAGGUCUAAUGAAACCUUUGUCCAAUAACUCCUGAAGUUGCAUCAUCAGCUCCUUCAUCUCCGUCGGUGCUAAUCGAUAAGGUGCUUUUGCUAUUGGCGUGGUUCCUGGUAACAAGUCUAUUCUGAACUCCACUUGUCUAUCAGGUGGUAAUCCAGGAAGAUCCUCGGGAAAUACUUCCGGAUAAUCACACACCACUGGAAUGCUCUGCAUCACCUUCUUUUCUUUCUUAGCAUCAAUCACGAAUGCUAAAUAUGAUGUACAUCCCUUGGUCAAACACUUUCUGGCUUUCAUUAGAGAAAUGAUUCCAGAAUUCACUCUGCGUUUGUCCCCAUACACCAUAAACGAAUCUUUCCCAGGCGGGUUUACUUUAACUAUCUUCUUCUUGCACAAAAUUUCGGCAUCAUUGGCGCUAAGCCAAUCCAUUCCCAAGACGAUGUCGAAACCAUUUAGUUCGAUAGGCAAUAAUUCCUCGAGAAACUUAUUCCCAUUAAGGUCGAUCAAGACGUUUUUCAUACGAUGGCUAACAGGUACAAACUUGCCACUAGCUACUUCGACUAAUAAAGCAUUAUCUAGUCUAUCAACAGGCAAAGCUAGCUUUCUACCAAACUCAUGCGAAAUAAAGGAGUAGUUGGCUCCAGAAUCAAACAAUAUAUGAGCAGGUAAUUCGUUUACGAGAAAGGUACCUGAAGCGACAUCAGCUUCAUCUUUCGCAGCCUCAAGUGUCAUCUGGAAGGCUCUCGCCUUCGGCUUUGGUGGAAUGUUGGGCCUAGCUGCCUCCUUCUUCUUCGGACAGUCUUUCAAAAUAUGCCCCUCUUCAUUACACCCAAAACACAUCCUUUUGUUGUUCGGACAUUCAUUGGCAAAAUGUCCAACCUUUCCACACUUGUAGCAGGUCACAUCCUCGCUACAUUUCCCAAAGUGCUUUUUCUUACACUUAUCACACCACUUUGCUUCGCCUCCUUUUCCUCCAAACUUUUUCGAAUCAGAUUUCGAAAAUUUGCUCUUCUUACUGGAACCAGAUGUUCCUUCAAACUUCCUUUUCUCACCAACCUCAACCUUGACGGUGGUUCUCCCCUUGAUCAUGUUCUCCACAGACUUGGCAGCCCAGAUAGCUGCCUCUAGAGUAAGUGCCUGACGUACCGGCACCUCGUACUCCCAUGGAAGUCCCUUCGCAUACCGAUCCACCUUUGUCAGCUCGUCUGGAACGAUACGCAAGGCAAACUCCAUCUUAUCGGUGAAGUUAUUGGUGUACUCAUCCACUGACAUGCUACCCUUCGUCAAUGUCAAAAACUUGUUCUCCAACUCCAACAGAUUUUGAGCCGAGCAGAACUUGCGCUUGAACUGCACCAAGAACUCUGCCCAUGACAAUUGCAGUGGCUCAUUAGGGCUUAAGGUCUUCCCUAGAGUGUUCCACCAACGAACGGCUCCACCUCGGAAUUGUCGCACGGCAUAGAUAGUCUGCAACUUGCCUCUACAGCCACAUGUCAUAAAGGCUAACUCCAUUUCGGAGAUCCAAUCCAUAACCCCAAUCGGAUCCUCCUUUCCAUUGAAGGUCGAUGGUUUACAAGUCAAAAAGUCCUUGUACUUGCAUCCCAUUCCAUCAUUCCUUCCAUCAUGGUUAUCUUGCCUAACUAUCGGUGGGUUGGCUGGACCAACAGACCCACUGAAGUUUCCACCUUCCGAGUGCCCUUCAUUCAGUUCAGGCUCUUCCACACGAAUCGACAGUUCUUCACGAUUUUGUUGAAGCAACCGUCUAGUUUCAUCCAUCUGACGAUCCAACAUCGUCUGAAUCAUCAAUUGCACACCAGCCAUGGUUAUUGGCUCAGGUGCUGCUGCUACGACAGGUAUUGGCUCAAUCACUGGUGGUUGAUUCCUGUUUUCGUCAGCAUUUCCAACUCCACUUCUUGUUCUCACCAUUUUGAUCUACACCGAAUAAGGUGAAAUUAGAUCCUCAAUCAUGAUAGAUAUUCAAAUCAUCCUUAUCACUCCGAAACGUUUACAUGCUAGUUCUAAUAUCGUAGACGUACGCUUAGAAUCCUACACACAUAAGGUUUCUAGAUCCGGUCGGCAACAGACCAUAGAUCCGAACAAAUAAUAUCAUAUAUGGCAACAUAUAACAUUUAGCACAUAAAGCAUUUUAGGCAACUUUCCUAAAAUAAACUAGUGCUCGUGUCUAAAUCACAACAGACACACAUCUCAAAACUUCACUUAGCAUUCUAAGUUUAAGUCUAGAAAUCCUACAAAUUCCUAGUUCGCUUAAACUAAUGCUCUGAUACCAACUGUGACAUCCCCAAAAUCUCGGCCAGAAAAGACCGAUUUUCAUUUAUGCUUUUAAAUAUUUUCAGAGUAAAUCCUUUUGAUUUGAAAGAGUUGCGGAAUUUGUUCCCAAAAACAAAACAUGAUAAAACAUUGUUUACCGAAGCAUUUCAUAAAAGAAAUGUAUUUUCAUUAUAAUCAAAACUCGGGGUGUCAUGUUCCGAUACAGACCAAUAAGCAUAAACGAAUACAUUACAAGUCAUAUAACAAAUAUAAACAUAUGCAGACUUGUAAACAAAACAACUUGAUGGUUCAUCCAUCUCAUGCCCUUCCGCCACUACCUGUAAUACAAUUUAAAACUGAGUGGGUCAGGCUUGGGAGCCUGGUGAGCAUAUAGGGUUUUCAACCCACAAUAAAUAUCAUAUUUAAUUUUCACCAACCAACAAUAACCCAAUUACCCAUUCCCGUUAUUCUCACUUUAAUGUCCCUAAAACAACUAACAUAAGGGACCUAGUCUAAGAAUAUUUCAUCGGGGCGACAACACAUGCUUCGGGGGUACCUCAGCAAUAUAAGUCAAAUAAGGCAACCAUGAGGGGGAUGGAGUACAGCGAAUGAACACCCAAGUUCAUUAACACCUACAGGUGGCGAACCUGCUAAUGUUUCCACAAGACUGUCUAGAAUAGCCAGUGGUCGUCAUCUAAACUCCGCUAGAUGACUCAAUCAAACAACAACGAGGCCUCUCAUCUGUUUAUUACACACCAACUGUCUACCCAUGUUCUACCCAACAUAUUAGUAGAUAAAAAUAUACAUUUGUAUACAUAGUUUAAAGAAAACCUGUAUAGCAUGCUUUAAUCAACACAUAUAUCACAUAACAGAUGAGGCACACACACACAUAACACAUAUCUCAUAAAGAAAUAAGCAGAUCUAUAAGAUAGAAGAGAGUGAAUACUCAUUCACACAUAACACAACCAAAUAUAUACACAUAGCACGUAUUUUUAUAUAAAAUACUUCGUAUUAUUGUAUUAGAAGAAAUAACUACACACUCACUUGAUCAGAAGAUGAUCGGACAGCACUACGGCUUAUAGAAGUAGUAAUCCACAGCAGAUCUGGAAGAUCUUCUCGAAAAUCGAACUUCUCGCGGGCAGAGCUUCGACUCGGGAACCGCACUUUUCGGGAUCUUCGGGAUCUCGGGACUUGCCUCGGGGCUAGAGUAUGAUACCGGGACUUCGGGGUAGCUUCGGGGGUUUUUGCACAGAGCUUCGACACGAAAACGAGAGGGAAUUGGCAAAAAUACCCGGAACCCUCGCAUCCUAUUUAUAGGAGGCUGGAGCCUCGGAGUACGCGGGGCGUACUGCGUUACGCGGGGCGUACUGCCCAAAACGUCAUUGCUUACGUAUCCGAAGUGCUCGAGUGCGAGUGUCGACAUCCCUCGGAGUACGCGGGGCGUACUCGAGUACGCGGGGCGUACCUCGGAUCAGAUCGGUGACUCCUUCGGAUAAUGCUUCCGAAUUUUAAUUUAAAUAUAAAUACAAAAUGAUUAAUAAACUUCGGAAAUUCAUAACUUCUUCAUACGAACUCCGUUUUCGACGUUCUUUAUAUCCACGCGAAGGUGAGACCAUGCUCUACGACUUUCGUUUAGACUCCGUCGGCUAAUUUUGACUUUAUUUUUAUUAAUUAUUUUUAAUAGGCCGGGACAGAAACUUUCGUUAUAAAUUCAUAACUUCUUCGUUUGACGUCCGUUCUCGCCUAACUUUUUAUCGUUUCAAUACCAACAAUGAGAUCUUCGAUUCUCAUUUAGAUUGCUUCGGCUAACAACCGCUCGAUCUCAAAUCGAGUAAAACAGGUUGUAUAUCGCUAAGCCGGAACUUCGAUAAAUCAUAACUUCCUCAUACGAAGUCAGAUUUGGGCGUUCUAUAUAUAUUCGGAAACCUCGUUUCAAUUACUACAACAUUAACCAAAGAUAUUAAGUUUAUUUUACACUUAAAUUUUGACGCUUAUUUUUAUUCUUAAUUAAUCAAACCACAUAAUUAAGCAAUUAAGCACAAAACACAUAAUACUCAAAUAAUACACUUUUAUUAUUUCAAAACGGGUUACAAAGGUCAACCUAGACUAUUACAUUGCUACAAAUGGCAAGCCCGACACACAGGCGUUACAGAUUAGCACUUUAUACGUCUAGGUCUCUUUCGAAGUGUGAAGCGAAGCGCUACUGAAAUCAUCAGUCACCCAUUUCAUCAGGUGAGUGCAUAGUCCCUUUUAUGAACUUGAUUUAAUACAAGUAUUUAAUUAAAGUAUUAAAUACUUGUUAGAAGUCGUAUGUGAAUUAUAUGCUUAUUACCUGAACUAUAUGUUAAGAUAUAUGUAUGUGUGUUGUGUGUGUGUAUGUAUAUAUAUAUAUANNNNNNNNNNNNNNNNNNNNNNNNNNNNNNNNNNNNNNNNNNNNNNNNNNNNNNNNNNNNNNNNNNNNNNNNNNNNNNNNNNNNNNNNNNNNNNNNNNNNNNNNNNNNNNNNNNNNNNNNNNNNNNNNNNNNNNNNNNNNNNNNNNNNNNNNNNNNNNNNNNNNNNNNNNNNNNNNNNNNNNNNNNNNNNNNNNNNNNNNNNNNNNNNNNNNNNNNNNNNNNNNNNNNNNNNNNNNNNNAUAUAUAUAUAUAUAUACACACACACACACACAUACACACACACAAGUUUGGUUAGUGUCACCUAAAUAUAGAGUUCAUAUUAAAAGUGGGUUACAGGCAUCAUAAUCUGGUUUAGGGAUAAACUUUAGUCUUAUGGAAGAUACCUAGUUCAAUUAAGUUUGAAAUUGGGUAGUCUCAUUAGGAGAAUGUGUGUAUGCUAGGAACGGAGAGUAAAGUUUUGUUCCGUGACACUCUUAGGUGUCGAUGUACGGUAGCUCCGUACGGGAGUACAUUAUGGUAUUCCCCUUGGAUGACUAAAAAUUGUGGAUCCAUAUCAGGCAACUAUAACGGUAUGUCUGAUCACCUCCAAGAGUAGGUGACAACACUUGGUCAUUCUAGAUAGUCUUGUGAAUUACAUUAGUGACAUGAGCUCAUUACGUACAUACGUAGAUAAAAUAGGAUACCAUAUUCAUCAAAUAAUUUUGAUGACCUAUAUGCCUUUAUGACUGCACCAACCAAGAAAGCCUCUAGCUAAGUAGCCAAGCUUUUUAACUAUUCAUCAGGGGAGAUAAUUUCUCCUUGAUAAUAUUCGAGGAUCGGUAGGAAUAGAUAUGCGGGAAUGUAAACUAUAUGGAUAUUGUAUGGUAACAGUUGAUUUUGCAGGUCUGAUAAUUAAAGAAUAUUAUCAUAACAAUAUUGUGGGAUUGAAAUCCCUAUGUAUCUCAUCAGGCUUUCCAACCUAACCCACUCAGUUUAUAUGUAUCACAUGUAUCAAUACUUAAGCUACUAGAACUUGAUUAGGAUGCUGAGUGAUUAAGAGAUAGCCUACAAUAAAGUUCAAGACCAAUAGGUCUUUACACAGUAAGUUAUGUUUCUAUAUCGAUUAUGACAUCCUUAGGGCUUUAUUAAAUUGAGACAAUCAUUUGUACUCAAAAGUUUUCAAAUGUACUGGAAAAUUCCGCAUUAAUGAUAAUAUAAGCGUAAAGAAAAGUGUUAAUUGGUUCUAAAAAUUAGAGGAUUUCACAGUGCAUGAACCACUUAGACUGUCGGCUAAUAUUGUUUUUUCGCUGGAUGACUUUUCUGUCGUUAUGUAGACUAAGGGUUGGAGCUGGAAAGAUGCUCUAGGGGGCACAACUUUCCCGUCUGGCACAGGACCGCUCACGUCCAAUCUCUUGUACAUUUAUCAAGGUGUCGCCGCCUAACGUAGUUUGGUGUGUCCUGAUGGGGCGCUAUCUUUAUCAGCUUAUGCACACUUCCAUAUUAAGAGAACACUCAUGACUAUAAAAAAAAACACUUGAACUAAAACAGUCAACCUCCCGCGUUAAAAUUUUUCAGAUUAAAAGAAUACUCAUGACUAAAAAACAACUCUAUAUAUAUCAGCAUAAGCACACAUCCCAAUAGCCAUUGAAAUGGAUUGUUCAAAACCUUUUGGAUUAUUUAUCUCUUCUUGAAUGAGAUCAUGUAGCUUAAACAACACAUUUACGGUUAAAGACCAAUCUUGGGUUGGUGUCGAAACGGUCCGGUCUUUUUGAGGUUGGUCUCGAAACGGUCCAGUCUUUUUGGAUCGGUCCGAGACGGUCUUGAGCCGUUCUUUUUUGGUCCGGACUUUUUUAGGACCGAUAUUUUUCCGGUCUGGUCUCGUUUUAGACCAAUUCGUUCUCGGUCUUUUUUCGUGUCCAUGUUCGAGACCGUUUUUUUUUUUUUUUUUUUUUUUUUUUUUUUUUUUUUUAUUUUUUGUGCGUUAAACGGAUCAUAGGAGAGAUUAGUAACAUAGUCAUCAUCUCCUAAAUAGGAAUGUUCAUGCAAAUCCUCCUCCGCGAACAACCUAUUCUCGGUCGGAAUGUGACAAAGACUCAUCUCUUUGUUGUUCUUUAUUUUUGAAUGGGGAAAACGAGCCAACCAUUUCCUAAACACGCACAAUAAACAUAUUCCCAUCCACACUAACAGGAAGCACCUCAGAAAUGAUAGCUAUAAGACGAGUUUCAAUACAUACACGAUUUGUGAAAAAUAAUUCAAGCAAACACGUAAACAAGUCAAUCUGACACAACCUCGUUAUCUAACUUCGUUUAUGGACGUUUUCACCUCGUUGAAUAUUGACUGUGAACGUAUUUAUUUAAAAACAAAAUUUUAAAGAAAAUAAAAUCACAGGGAAACCGGGACUGUUCGAACACGAAGACGGUGGGGAAGAUAUGCAAUAAGAAAGGCGGUGGGGAAGGAUCUGAGAAGCCACAAAUAUGAAUCUGAUUGAAGAAUAAAGCGGUGAAGCCAAUUAAAUACAACACGUAUACAAAACAAUAUAUGAAAUGACAUAAAAUAACCCUUAAAAAAAUUGGAAAAUAGCUGCAACACCAAAUGAUCAUUUCUGCCAAAAGUAACCCAUAUUAACUGUAGCUAAGCAAGGAGAAAUUUAAUAUAUUAUAUAAUAAUAUAGUUUUGCUCUUUCUUUUAUUAAAUAUCGCUAUAAAAUAAUUCCAAUAUCCAUAUGUAUUUAAGGAAAAAAAUCAUCUUUUGUCUUAUUCAACAUCCGCUUUACAAAUGGACUUGUCAAAAAAAAAUUGUCAAUCUCUAAUCUUGCAAACUUUGAAAAACACGUUGCAAGGCCCCACUUUUCAAAAAAAACUUUAGAAAACAAUAAUUUUUUUAUAUUUAUCUAAAAUUGCAUGUUCAUGGUAAUGUACAAGUAAAUUAAUUAUGUAAAAUCAGUUUUAUAAUUAUACUAAUAAUUUUAAAAAAAAUAAAACAAUUUAUAUAUAUUUUCAAUUAAUUAUUAAUUACGAAUAAUUAAUAUAUUUGUUAAGAAAUAUUAUGAAAAAUUAUAAAUUGAUUUUUGAUUUGGUAAUGGGAUCCAUUUUAAAAGAUAGAUGUUAGUGCAUAGAUGUAAAUGGUAAUUACAAAAUCUAAUGAGUCAUUUGAAAGGUAAAUGGUAUUGUAUUUAUGUGGAUGAUCUUAGAUGUUAUCUAAUAUAUAUGAGAUUGAUUAUAAUUUUUAUUAUUUUAUGUCAAACUAGAUUUUACAAAUUUUCAUGAAAAAAGGAAAUCAAAAAUUGGAUUAGUUUCUGUCAAUUAUUACUAAAACAAAUGAUUACGAGACAAUACAUUAUAUAUUUUUUACUAACCGCUAUAUCUAACCAUGUUAUUGAUUAAGUUCAGGAUUCAAAACUAUUCUCAAUAUAAAUUAUAACUAAGCAAACCUUUAAAAAAAUAGAAAAAAUAUAAGAUUUUUUAACAUCACAUUAAUAAAUACAGAUGGGACUCAGUCUCAUUGACCUCCCAAGGGCCAAGAGACUGUCACUGAGACGAGUUAUACUCCCAUGCUAAAAACGUGUUUUGUAUAGGGAUAAUUGUCCAAUGCAUAUGACGUUAAUUACUAAAAUAAAUUAAUCGAAGACAAGUAUCAAAUAUAAGUUAUUAAAACAAAAAAUUAUAUAUAUGAAGGCGAGCCAUGCCUGGGUCACAGUAAGCCCAGGCCCACCCUCAAAUUUAAAUUUUUUUUUUUUUUUUUAUUCUAACUACUCCAGUCCACUUUCAAAUCCGAUUCUCACAACUGAUUACAUUGAAUCGAAAUCAAUGAUUCCAAAAUGAAAAGAAAUUCACUUCGCUCCAAAAUCCUUGAAAUCGGAAUUCUCUAUCACUACAGUUUGUCGAGAUUAAGGCUUUUAGUUUCCAAAAUCGUUCUCAUAUGAAAUCGACGUUCACUAUCAAGUCACAAUUUCACGCUCACUCUCAAACUGAAUCAGUCAAAUUGAUUUCUCAGUGUCGAUUUUACUGAUUUGUUGUUUCUAAGUGUCGAUUUUACUCGUAUUUCGCUUCAACACCUUUCUUUACCCCUUUAUUCUACUUCAUUUUUCCGCCCAUUGUUGAAGAUGCCAAGGCCUGGACUAACAAUUUGAAUGCGUGAGAAGAUCUGGGCACAAUGACACACACCAACCCAUUGGAGGUUCCAUCAUUCAAUAGAUUUUUAGGUCAACUUUUUUCAACUGAAUCUCCAAAAAAAAAUUGAUUUCUACGCCUGUUUAUUGGGUUACUAAAAUAAUGCAUACAAUAUGUUUGAUUAGAGUUGUACAUGAAAAUUAUAUGUAUAAAAAAAAACAGAGAAUAAAAGAAUUAUUUUACAAAUUUAGUUUUUCUUUCAUUUUAGAUUUGAAUUUGAGUUUAUUUAGAUCAUAUUUAUCUUGCUUUAGUGUUCAACUCCCUUAAUUUGGGCGUUAUUAAAGUCAAAAAGCAUUGAUUUUAAAACAACUAGGAUUAUGUAUUUGGAUUUUUUUGAAAGGUCAAACAUGACAAAUAUUUAUAUAAUUAGAUCAUGUUGUGUUAAUAAAUACUAAAUAGAAAUGUCACAACAAACAUAAAUAUUGUUAUCUUUUGACAGCUAAAUAAUUCCACACCAUAUUUACUCUGUUUAAGCACAACUUCUACACAGCCUUAGUAAUUUCUCAAUUGUUGCUAAUCAAGAUAUCAAUGUUGAAUGAUAACUUUGUUACUUAUAUCAAUUUUUUUUUGCAGAUGUUGUUAAUCAAGAUAUAAGUGUUAUGUUUGAUAUAAUGAAAACCCGUCCAUGACCUUAGUGAUUUUGAAGUUUUUUUUGGAAAGACAGUGAAUUUAUAUAUGUUUUCGGAUGUUGCUUUUAUGUAUGUUUCUAGUUAAUUUAUAAGGACCACCCUAAAAAAAAUUUAUGGUUCCGCCCCUAUAUGAAGGUCUAAACAUUAAACAAUUUUAAAAAAAAAAAUUCAAAAUAAAUAUAAUUGGAAUGAUAAGACCAAAGGGAGUGGACAUGGUUUGUCCAGCGGUUUGCCAUGGUGGUAGUGAGGAACACCGCCCCCAUCUUGCGGUCUCCAUUAUGAUUUGACCGCGUGCGAUUCUCUCGUGUGUGUGACAAAGAUUAUACUAAAUUAUGGUAAAGUUGACAUUGAGUCUAUGUGUCGUCUACAUAGCAUAGGAGAUAAUGUGGUUCUUAUAACACGGCUUUCUCACAUUUAAAUAAGUAAUUAUUUCAAUUAAGUAAUAAAAAAUGUAACAUACAACAAUAAGUAAAUAAUAAGAUAAUAUUUUAUAUUUAAUAAUAUAUUUUUAAUUAAAAAAUUAUCUAUAUUCGAUUGAAAAUUGUAUAUGAAAAUUUUAAAUUUUUAAUGAUAAUUAGUCAAUUAUUACAUUUUAGCAAAAGUUGUAUACUUUGACUUUUUAUUUGUCAACGUAUACAACCCGAAACAGUAUCUUUUGAUUUUUGUAAUUAAACCAAAUUUAACCGACCGAUAUUCCUUGGUGUUUAUUAAGAAACUUCCAUGCUUUUAAGGUUUGCAAACCCGGGUUCCAAGAAAACUUUCUCAAUUUUGUAGACCAUGAUACCCAUUUGACACUUUGACUUUUCUUAUUUCACGUUCUUGACUAAUAGAGUUUGUAAUUUCCAUGUUCAUUCAAAAUUUUGACUUUUGGCACUUGACAAGUUUCACUACAUCUUACUUCGAUUUAUAAUUAUGACAAAUAAAUAAAUCCAAAUAAGUUUUUUUUAAUAAAAAAAAAACAGAACAUUUCAAUUUCAAAUCCAUGGUAGCUUUCCCCUCGUAUCAUCUAAAUGAGCCAAACAAAUGGCGGUCAUUAUAAUUGCACUAGUCGAAUGCACUCUCUGUCCAAUGUAAAUGUAUUGUAAAAUUUGAUAUCUAUAUGUUUUAUUUUGUUGACAUUUACGUUAAGUUGAUAUAUAAAAUUGAGAUUAUUGCAAUAAAAGACCUUGAAUUUAAACAAAAUGUUCGAUUAUGCUCAAAAUUGGUUUUUUUUUGGUGUUAAUGCCCUCAUGUUUGGUCCAAGAGUUUGUUCAACUGUGAGAGUUAGGAAAUACUUGCAGCACGGAUGUUCAAAGUUUUUUUUGGCUUAUAUUGUUGAUACACGGUUUGAGGGAAGAAGUCUAUCGAGGGUAUGUGUGUUGUUUGGGAUUUUAUGAUGUGUUUCCAAAGGAUUUGACGGGAGUGGCUACUGAGAGGCAGGUGGAGUUUUGAAUUGAUCUAGUUCUAGGUGCAGCUCCAAUAGCCAAGACACUUUAUCGUCUUCCACCUCCUGAGAUGCAAGAGUUGUUCAUGCAACUUUCAUGAAUUGCUUGACAAGGGGUUUAUCAUGUCGAGAAGUUCUCCAUGGGGGGCUCCCAUUUUGUUCGUGAAGAAAAAGGACAAGACCCAUCGGAUGUGCGUCGAUUAUAGGGAGCUGAAUAAGCUAACGGUGAAGAACCAUUAUCCGCUCCCGAUGAUCGACAAUUUAUUUGAUCAGCUUUAGGAUGCAUCUUGGUUUUCCAAGAUUGAUUUGAGAUCAGGUUACAUUAGAUAAGGGUGGGGGAUGAAGAUAUUCAGAAGAUGACCUUUAGGACUCAUUACUGACAUUAUGAGUUUGUGGUGAUGUCAUUUGGGCUCACCAAUGCACCGACAGCGUUCAUGGAACUCAUGAACCAGGUUAGCAGACCAAUGUUGGAUCGAUCAGUGAUUGUGUUUAUUGACGAUAUCUUGAUCUAUUCUAAGACUAAGGAAAGGCAUGAGGAGAAUUUACGACAGGUUCUUGAGACUUUAAGGAAGGAGAGGCAUAUGUAAAAUUCUCCAAGUGUGAGUUUUAGUUGCAUGGGGUGUAGUUUUUGUUGGGUUUUGAGCAUUCUAACACUCCUAAGUGUACAUGCAACCCUAAAUACCUUGGAUCUAUGUUUUCUCUAUUAUACAUGCAAAUAAGAACUUCCAAGGUAUUAUCCUAAUCUAGCAUACAAAACAAUGACUAUAACAAGAUAGAAUACAUACCUCUUUGAUGUAGAAAGUCUUCAUGAAGCUUGAGUGCCUAGUGCCCCAAGUGUGACACCUCAAAUGGAAUCACAAUCAUCAAAACACUUGGAAUGACUUGAGAGAAUUCUACACUCUUCAAAAUCGGCUAGCCCUUUCUUCACUAUCACUAGUGGCCGAUUUUUCCUCAAUAAUAAGAUGCUUAUAUAGUUACACAAUUAGGGUAAACUCUUAAUUGUCAUGGCUUUCCAUUUCCUUGGAUCCAUGGGUACAAAUACACCAUGGAGCAUCCAUGGACCAUCCUAUGGGUUUUAGCCCAACUUGAUUAUCCAUGGAGCAUUAGCCCACUAUACAAGUAUGGAUGAUUUACACAAUCAACCCAUAUAUUUAAUUAGUCUUCUUUUGAUCACUUAAUUAAUCCUAGAUUAAUUCUUGAUCAAUACUAAUUAAAUAAUCUUAUUAUUCUUAUUAUUAAUAUACUAGAACUUAUAAUAUAUUAAUAACCAUAAGUGUCUUAUUUCUCUCAUUAUAGUCUAUCCAAGUGCAUGAUGGUAUGCAACCCAAAUGGACCAUGCCGGGUCGGGUCAAGUCUUACCAAUUAUAGUUAUGGACUUAGACAUUAAUCCAACAGUCUCCCACUUGGAUAAGUCUAAAACUAUUAUUGCGUAUGACUUCAGGAACCAACUGGCAAUCGUAGCUCUCAAAAGCUUCUGUCGAACUCUGACCUUGUAGAUGAACUCUGACCUUUGUCAAUGACUUGUCCAUUAGAUAAGGGAUCAUAUAUUCCUCCAUUCUAGAUAUCAUAUGGACUGAGACAUGGAUUAUAAUCAUUCUCUCUGUCCAUUUGUUGUUUCCCGAUUUCCGAUUUAUGACGACUGACUAAUUGAACAAAUCAAAUCAGUCCUGGCCCGGCCGAGCACUUCCAUUUGUCAUCAUCAAAUCAUCGAGGGGCCCACAGAUAUCGCUUUUAUCCCGAAGGUAAAAGGAAUGGAUAAACUUCGACUCAUAUGGCUUGUUCUACUACUUGUUGAAUCAUACACAAAGGCACGUUUUAUAGCACCGAGUUACCAAAUGCGUUUUCGUGCAAUCAAUGUACUAUCAACUCAUAGUAACAACUCAUAUCUCUAGGUUUGAAGAAUAUAAGAUAUUAUCGUCUCAUGAUCACUCGUGAUAAAAUCCAUGAAGUGAUUCCAAUGAGCGCGGGUUGAAUCCAAUACUCAGAACUUAUGAGCACUCAUGAGUGUUGUAGCCCUUUGUCCAACACCUUAGACCUCUACAAGCCAACCCAUGACAGUCUUAAUUCAUAUCUACUUCCAACAUAUGACCGACUGUGGAUGGUUUGAAUAACUUAGUCAUUCCGGAAGAAUAACCCAGUUUAUUCGGGAAGUCAAAACAUGCAAAAUGAAACACAAUAAUAAUUGAAUCCAAUAUGGUAUCAACCCUUUGAACAUAAAUAAAACACCUUUUAUUUAUCACCAUAUGAUUACACAUUAUUCAUUGUAUACUGUUUCAGCUAUCAACUUUAUUCUUGAAUUUAAAACAAUAGUUGUCCCAUGCUCCAAGCAUGUACACUAUGUUUUCUUAAACACUAGUCAUGCCACACACCAAGUAUGCAUACUAUGUUUGUCUAUGAUCUUUACUUUGUGAACUAGAUCAAUU
rnacentral:lncRNA from 1 species